rnacentral:lncRNA from 1 species
GUCAAUCCCCGACGGGGAAUUCCCCGUUGCCAUCUUGAGAUACGACAGGAAUAUAUGGACAGAUGUGUAUCGAAAACACAUUAAAAAUCAACACAAGUUAAUUACCACGGCACACAUAUAUAGCAUUACAUUCUUGUAUCAUAUAUUCAGUGACACACACACCACACACCACACACCACACACCGGACAACUGAAUAAACGUACUCACGCAAGCUUAACACUCCCUGACACUUGAACACACGCUCACUCUCACUGUGAACUGGCCAUUAUUCUAGCUGAAAAUCAACACAGAUGGAGCACACACACACACACAGACACAUGACCACUAAGGACAGGAAACCAGUAAGUAACGAUUGCCCCCUCCUCCAAUUCCAAACACAUAGGAUUUAGAUGGAGAGAGGGAGACCUGGAAGAAAGGCUUAGCCUUCCCUUGCCGAUAAGACUUGCCUUCUUUCUCGUGCAUAGCUGCCGAAGAAGCAUCCCUGCUCACAUGCCAACCCGUGGUGGAGAGCACGGCAAGCAUGCUUUUUCACUGCUUGCACUAUACUCACACCGCUGCUGCCGGUGUGAGUGUGACCAGUGCUUCACUCACAACACCUUCUUCUUCUCUGCCCCUCUUCUUCCUCUUCCUCGACAUCAUAUGCUAGGGAGCUCUGCUUGACGAGCGAGUUCGGUGGGUGAGAACACUGGUCUGGCCAUGGCCAAUCUUCCUCUCUUUUAUAGGCAUCUUCACGUUAACUGAAUCACUCAAGUCUGUGCGAGUGAUUGGCCUGUAGGGAUUGCUAAUUGGUGAAGGGGGGAUUCUUUAGUUGCGUUAUGGAUUCUCGCAUAUCUGCACCCACUCAUCCUUGAACCACUGGAUUCCAUUGCUUUUGAUACUUUUUAUGGGUGGCCAUUAAGGCGUUAACACUUUGUUAUCUUGUGCCUAACUUAUGGCGAUAGCCUCUAAUGACGCCUUUUUACGGGAUAGUGGGGAUCCUCUGAGGUACAAUCAGUAGACACCUGUCGAUGAUUAACAGCGACAGUUUCAGAAAUACGAGUACUUAUGAGAUGAGUGACAAAGAAUCUCAUCCAUUGCUACAUGCUAAGUAUUUUUCUUUUGGAAGAACCUUCAAAGAGGGCCAGGAAUCAUGCAAUGCGAUUUACUUAUGAAGAAAGAAGAAAGAGUAACCUGGUUUACAAGGAAAAUUGGACCUAGAAACUAUACAACCACAUGACUAAUAAAAGGAAAACCUGUCCUGAACACAACAGCUCCGGCAGCUCACCCACCAUCACUCUGUUUGGAUGCAAAGUAUUUUUGAAGUACUAGAGAAAUACUAUAUGGCUUUACAAAAUACUUUGAUUUUUAAAAGCUAUUGAGUGUUUGGAUGCAACAAAUCUUGUAGUCUCUAAAACCAUGGUUUUGUCAAAAUUGUAGUUUUUUUUAGAGUUUUAGAGACUCCACUCAUGACCUCUUUUUUCUAAACCACAGUUUUGUGUCUUUAACUGAUAAAACCACAAUUUUGUGAUACUAAAGUUUUUUAAAGACCGCAUCAUCCAAACAACACAAUAGAGCCUAUCGUUUAACUAGUUACCGAGCUUCGUCACAGUAGCCCACCAAUACUUUUCAUAUGUGCAUGAAGAAAAGUUGUCAUGCAAUAUCUACAGAAACAUUUCUCUGAACAUUAUGAAAAAUCCAACUCGAAUGUUUAAAAUUUGUGGUCAUCGAGUUACGGCUCCAGAAGAUCCGGACAUUCUUGCCCCCUACAUACCGAAGAAGGGUGGAAGGAGACGACUCCCUGUGUGUUAGUAGUCUCAGCAUGAUUCACGUACCAAUGCAAGUGCAGACCAGCAACGCAAAGGAAAACUUCUAAAAGAGCUGCACGCUUUUGGAAAGCGCCAUACAUUAUCACGUCCCUACACACACAAUCCUCAAAAAGGAAACAUCAGAUCAAUUAAACUGGAAUCUGAUUGUUUAUGGACGAUCCAUCACCCACCACCAUCCAAUGCGGAAUAGGGUUCACUCUAGGGAAGAUGUCCAAUGUCGUCUUCUAGACAUCAGAUAGAUUCAUAUCCUAUUCAUUCUCAGUGUGUCCGGCCGGGCUUACACCCAACUCUAUCCGAAUCAAAAGGUGACCUUUUCACUGGGUGGGGUUGAUUGAUAGAUGUGUGCUUUGUCCUAAGUAAUGGCCUUAUCAACUUGUAAUUGCCUUCAACUUGCGUUAAUGGAGAUCAUUAUGCCACUUUCUCAUGCUCAUACCUUGACUUUUCCUCCGGGAUAUGAUAAUUUAUGUAGCUAAAGGACAGGCCACGGUCUGGAGAUAAGAGCUGAUGAGUGAGUGUGACCUUGGAAGUGCUCUGUUGAUGAUCAUCGGUCUCCUACUUUAUUUUCGCCAACAAUGAGAAAAAGGAUCGUGUUUACUGCUUUCUGAAGAAAUGAAAGGAGACUUGAUACUAGGCCAUGCAUAUGUCACGGUAAGUCUUAGAAGUUGUUCUUAAUAUUUCAUUUCGAAUGUUGAUUGAGUAGUAAAGUUAGUUUAAACUAACUUAACUAAAUUGGAUUGCAUGUUUGUAUAUAUAAACAAGUAACAAUUAUUUGAGCAUGCUACAUAAAAUAUUUUGUAAAAAAUCAUUAUUCUAUCUAUCAUGUAUUUAUCUCAGUUUAAGAAAGAUGGAAACACCCAUUAAUAUCUGUUUUCCAAAGCAAUUAUAAACCAUCUAAAUAAGCUUUAUUUCUCGAUUCCUAAGAAGAAAAGGACAAACAACACUGUAUUUGUUAGAUUGAUCUCUCACCAGACUGGCCGAAUGAACACCCAACUCUAUCUGAAUCAAAAGGUGAACCUUGAUCCGCGUCCUGGGGCGCCCAACCCAAUUCAUGGCUAGUGGCCCCUCGCCGUGCAGCGCUAUAUAGAGAAGGUGGGGGAGCCGGGGCUCGUGUCACGAGGUUCCUUUGAGCCGCCACUCCCACCUACAACCCUAAACCGAUCAUGAGGGUCGCGUUGUGAGCGAGAGGAAGCACCACCAGUGUUUGUCUGUCACUGGAUCACGCCCCACUCCUUCACUGCCUCGGCACUACUUCAGUACCUCUUCCCCGACCGUCACUGCCCUAGUACAGAGCGUCACCGACGAGAUGGCAGCCUCCGGAUCUAACACCACCACACUAGCCCCUCCCUCCUAUGAUCUAUGCACCUCUCUCUCUCUCUCUCUCCCUGAGUACUAGUUCGUGUGCUAUUGUUUAUCACAAAAUAGAAAAGUUGUACCCUACUGAUCUACACCUAGGAGGUCCUAAAGACUUAAUUUGUAUUAGCCACGUAUGCUUCUCCCAAACAUGAUGGCAAGUUUUUCUAUGAAAUACUCAAUAGUAUAAGGCUAGCUUCCUUGUCAAUUUAUAAACAUAAAUGUUCGGUUAAUAAUAAACGAAACAGCGCAAGUUCCCAUUUAUCAAAAUUAAGAGGACGUGUUGUUUAUUAGUUAGGUGAUGCCUCAAAAGCAAAGUGGGGUGAGGAAAGGAAGGAUUUGAGACCCUCCUUGCACUGCCAGCCCUGAGAGAGCGUCCUUAGUCCCUCAACCAUACCCUGAGAAUUUUCUUGUUGAAUGCUUUAAGAACGAGAGAUAUAGCCUUUCUAGGGUUAUAAGGUAACCGCACCAAAUAUGAGUUGGGGCAUAAAUGAGCAACUUCUCUUCUAAAUUUUCCUCUACUUCUUCAGUCUAUUCCUGCCCUAGAAAAAAGAAGCCCAGUACAGCAGUACUUGCUAUUUUAGCAAACCAAAUAGCACACCUGUUGGACUUUAAUUUUUGCUUUAAAAAUGUAAAAAUAGCCUAGAUAACAUGGAUAACAUAUCUGUUGGAGUUGCUCUCACCAGAAACUAUCGUCAUAUAUAGUAUGAUGUUCCUCCUUGGACUCCAAAACUAUGCAAAUUAUGAGAUCUCAAAACCAUUCAAAUUACCUCUUUGUCCUAUUUUGAAGUGGAUUUGAAAGCGGUUUAGUCAUAAAAUCUGGUAAAUACUUGACAAGGCUAUUAAACCAUGGAAAAUAUAUGUAAGCUUCUAAAAAUUUUAAAAGAAACAUAGCGAUAGACUUUCAUACAACAAAUCCAAAUAAAAUAUUUAGAGCUCGUAAAAAUAUCUUUGAAGCUUCAAAAAACUAGAUUUAGUUCUAGAAGAAUGGAAAAAUAUCCCAAAAAUCUAGGAAGUUCACAAAACAUUCUAAUUUAUGUUUGAACAUGUUUUGAAAACUUUCCACAACAAAAGAAAUAAGAGGCAGCCAGCAUGAAUGCAUUGAGUAUUAAUGUAUGCUGAGUAUUAUACUUUUGUAGUGCACUACUACAGAAUGAGGCAUUGGUCGAUGCCCAAAAUGGUCAAAAACCUUAGCGUUUUUGCGCCCGGGGUUAAAGACUCCUUUAACACUGGUUCGUAACACGAACCGGUGCUAAAGGGUCCUGCCCAACGGCUACUGACAGGUGCUGUCGGGGCAGGGACCCUUUAGCACCGGUUCGUGUUACAAACCGAUGCUAAAGGGUCCCCUUUAGCACCGGCCAGCGCCACGGGCUGAGGCAAAGCCUUUAGCACCGGUUUGUAACACAAACCGGUGCUAAAGGGUCACCCUUUAGCACCGGUUUUUGCCCUGAACCGGUGCUAAAGGUCCGGUUUAUAGGUCGGAUCCCUCCUCCUCUCUGCCCAUUUGAAACCGAGAGCACCAUUCACCAUUGUUGUUCUUGGAGCUUGUUCUUCCUUGUUCUUCAUCUCCGACGCCCAUCGUUGAUCUUCUUCGACUCCGUCAUCGUUUCUUCGUGUUUGGAGGUGACUAACUUUUGUCUUUCUUGUCUUUUUCAUGUUGUUUUUGGCUUGUGAUGUUCCCUUUAUUUUUAGCUCAAAUCCACAUGUUCUUGCUUAUUUCAUGGUUGACCUAGUAUUAAUGUAGUUUGCAAGAAUAAAUUAUAGUAUCUUUUUAUGAUCUUAGAAAGUAGGAUAAUUCAAAUUAAUUGGUUUGUUAAUAUCACUUGAUUUAUUUUUAUUACUACACAAUGUCCAUUAUAUAAUUUAGAAGAUUUGUUGAAGUAGCUAGACAAAUAAGGGAUAUUAUUAGGUUCUUCUUUAAUCAUACAUGUUUACUAGUAAAUGUGGAAUUUAUAAUCGUUUAAAAAUUGAGUAUGGAUAGUAGAUGGCAACCGUGACCGGGUCUUCGGUCUCUCAACGGGUUCAAAAGCGAUACCGGCCGGAACUCCUUCUCAUUACUUGUGGCAAGUGUGGGCAGAAGACUGUGAUGGAGUACAAAGUGUCGAAAGAGGGAGUAAACAAGGGUCGUAUAUUCUACAAGUGUCCGGAUCGUAAUGUGAGUUAUUUCCAGACAUUUGCUUAUAUAUGUGCAUAUUUUUUUAAAUGAUAUUAAGCACAUAUUUUUUUAAAUGAUAUUAAUUAAACUUUUGAUUCUCUCUUUUAAUUUCAGUGGGACGGUACCAGCGGAUGUACAGGUUGGUACUGGGAGGAAGAAUACAUUGAACACAUUAAGAAAUCUUUUGCACAGGUGGUUGAGGCUGAAGGUGGUGAGGCAAUGAUCUAUCUAUUAUAGUUGGGAUCGGACACGAACUAAUUAUGUUGCUUAAGUGUAUUUUAGUUUUGGUUUUUUAGUGCUAGUUGCGAUUGUAUUUGUUGUAGCCAAGCUUUCCUGAAUUAAUCAAUUAUGUAUCUUAGACAUGUUGUGCAAUAAGAUGAGAAACUAUAUGUGUGCAUGGUUUUCAUAAUAUAUAUGUUAUAUUUAAUGCAGAUGGUAACACGUAAUUGGAUGUAUAAUGCCGAUCGGUGCUCCGAAGAGUUCAUUAAUGGCGUGCACUAUUUCUUAAGUGUGGCCGAGACAAAUAAGAGGGACGGUUUCAUGUGAUGUCCAUGUGCCGUGUGCAAGAAUUUGACGGAAUAUUCUAACUCAAGAACUCUUCAUUCGCACUUAUUAAAGUCCGGUUUCGUACCAAACUAUAUUUGUUGGACCAAACAUGGAGAAAGCGGGAUUAUAAUGGAUGGAGGUGAAGAAGAAGAAGAAGAAGAAUUGGACCAUGCCAAUAUUAUUGCUCAGUACGAUGGCUUCAAUGAUGUUGCAAUGGGGGGAGAUAAUGAAGAAGAGGUAGCAGCAGAAGAUGAUCGGGGCGAUGAUGCUUUUGGUGAUGCCAUCCGUGAUGCACAAAGAGAAUGUGAAAGUGAUAAAGAGAAAGCCAAGUUCGAGCGCAUGCUAGAGGACCACAGGAAAUCGCUAUAUCCCACCGCUGAAGAGGGGCAAAAAAAAGCUGGGUACCACACUGGAAUUGCUGCAAUGGAAGGCAAAGAAUGGUACAUCUGACAAGACAUUUGGGCAGUUAUUGAAGAUCAUAAAAAAGAUGCUUCCGAAACUCAACGAAUUGCCCACCACUACGUAUGAAGCAAAACAGGUUGUCUGCCCAUUGGGAUUAGAAAUCCAGAAGAUACACGCAUGUCCUAAUGACUGCAUCCUCUACCGUGGGGAGGAAUACGAGAAUUUGGAUGCAUGUCCAGUAUGUAAGGCAUCACGGUAUAAUAUUAGACGAGAUGAUCCUGGCGAUGUUGAGGGUGAAGAACGUCAUAGGAAGAAAAUUCCUGCCAAGGUUAUGUGGUAUGCUCCUAUAAUACCAUGAUUAAAAUGUCUGUUUAGAAAUAAGGACAAUGCAAAGUUGUUGCGGUGGCAUAAAGAAGACCGUAAGAUAGACAAUAUGCUGAGACAUCCCGGCGAUAGAUCCUAGUGGAGAGCGAUAGACAGAGAAUUCCCAGAUUGUGCAGAUGAUGCUAGAAACUAGAGGUUCGCCUUAAGUACAGAUGGUAUGAAUCCUUUCGGUGAGCAGAGCAGUAGUCACAGCACUUGGCCAGUUACUCUAUGUAUCUACAACCUUCCUCCAUGGCUAUGCAUGAAGCGAAAGUUUAUUAUGAUGUCGGUGCUUAUCCAAGGACCGAAGCAACCUGGCAAUGACAUAGAUGUCUACCUAAGGCCAUUAGUUGAGGAACUUCAACUUUUAUGGAGCAAACCAGGAGUUCGCGUGUGGGAUGAGUACAAACAAGAGCACUUUGACCUACGAGCAUUGUUGUUUGUAACAAUCAAUGAUUGGCCAGCUCUGAGUAAUCUUUCAGGCCAGUCAAACAAGGGAUAUAAUGCAUGCACACAUUGUUAUGAAGACCUUGACUGUGUAUUUUUGAAAAAAUGUCGAAAGGUCGUGUACCUUGGCCACCGUCAGUUUCUUUCUGUGAACCACCCAGUACAAAAGAAAGACAAGCAUUUUAAAGGCAAGGCAGACCACCGGACCAAACCUCUCAAUCGAACCGGGGAUGAUGUACUCGAAAUGGUAAAGGAUAUAAAAGUGGUAUUUGGAAAGGGACAAGGCAGCGAACCUAUUCCCAAGGAUGCUAAGGGACACGUACCCGUGUGGAAGAAGAAAUCCAUAUUUUGGGAGCUACCUUACUGGAAUGUCCUAGAGGUCCGCAACGCGAUCGACGUGAUGCAUCUGACAAAGAAUCUUUGUGUGAACUUGCUCGGAUUCAUGGGUGUCUACGGGAAGUCUAAGGAUUCACUUGAAGCACGACAAGACUUGCAGCGCAUGAAAGAAUGAGACAACCUGCAUCCAGAAAAGACAGAUGAUGGAUGUCAUUACUUAAGCCCUACUAGCUACACUCUGAGCAAAGAAGAGAAGGAAAGCAUAUUUGAAUGUCUUAGCAGCAUCAAGGUCCCAUCUGGAUUCUCCUCCAAUAUCAAGGGAAUAAUUAAUGUGCGAGAGAAGAAAUUCCUGAACUUGAAGUCCCAUGACUGUCACGUUCUAAUGACGCAAUUGCUGCCGGUAGUUUUAAGAGGAAUUUUACCUCCACACGUACGUCUAGCCACCGUAAAGCUAUGUGCAUUCCUCAAUGCAAUUUCUCAGAAGGCAAUCAAUCCAGAGCAGCUAGCUACUCUAUAGAAUGAUGUCGUUCAAUGUCUCAUCAGCUUUGAGUUGGUGUUCCCUCCAUCCUUCUUCGAUAUCAUGACACACCUCCUAGUUCAUCUGAUCAAAGAGAUUCGUAUCCUCGGUCUUGUGUUCCUACACAACAGGUUCCCCUUCGAGAGAUUCAUGAGUGUCCUAAAGAAAUAUAUCCAUAGUCAUUCCCGGCCAGAAGGAAGCAUUGCCAAGGGCUACAGAACAGAGGAGGUCAUAGAGUUCUGUGUUGACUUUAUUCCAGACCUUGACCCAAUUGGCAUUCCUGAAUCUCGACACGAGGGCAGACUCAGCGGAAAGGGAACACUUGGGAAGAAAACAUAUAUUGGUACGGGAGAUGAUUACUUCAAUAAAGCACACUACACAUUUCUCCAGAACUCCUCAUUGGUGGAACCAUAUGUUGAGGUACACAAAGAUUUCCUACGGUCCCAGUGGCCCGGGAAGAAUGAAGCUUGGAUAAUGCGUCUGCAUAUGGAAACUUUUGGCGAUUGGUUGCGCAAAAAAUGUCAAGGUGAUGAAAACAUUGAUGAGGAGCUUUAUUUGUUGGCCAGGCAACCAUCAUGGCAUGUCCUCACGUACAAAUGGUACGAGAUAAAUGGUAACACAUUUUACACAGUUGGCCAAGAUAAAAGGAGUACCAACCAAAAUAGUGGUGUACGCGUGGAUGCCACGGAUCCAAAUGGGAACAGACAAACAUAUUAUGGACGCAUAGAAGACAUAUGGGAACUAGUCUAUGCAGCUAAUUUUAAAGUUCCUUUGUUUUGGUGCCAAUGGGUGAAGAUGACCGGAGGUGGGGUAACCGUCGACAAGGAGUAUGGGAUGACAACCGUGGACCUUAACAAUAGUGGGUUCAAAGACGAACCAUUCUUCCUUGCUGCAGACGUGAGCCAGGUGUUCUAUGUCAAAGAUAUGUCUACGAAACCAAAGAGAGGAAAAAAUGAUGACCACUCAAUCAUCAAUGAGCCAAAGCGCCACAUUGUCCUUUCUGGGAAAAGAAACAUUGUCGGAAUUGAGGACAAGUCAGACAUGUCAGGCGAUUACGAAAGGGAUGAUCGAAUUCCGCCCUUCAUAGUCAACAAAGACCCAAGCAUUCUGUUAAACAAUGAGGAUACUCCAUGGUUACGGCAGGAUCAUAACAAAGGGUCAUACGUCAAGAAGAAGUUCACUAUUGUGUCGGCUUAACAUAAAGUCAUGUUUAAUAGUAUGUGUUGUAAAAUGUACGAAUUAUGAGAAUUGUAUGAAACUAUAUUUGAGAAUUGUGAAUUUUGAUGAGUGUAUCAAACUUUGUAUUCAUGACUUUUCCAUUUGGGACAAUCUAGAGUUCGGUCAAAGGGUGUUUUUGUAAAAACCAAUGCUUUGACUUUGGUCGAACUUGAUCAAAUGGCCCAUUUGAUGACUUCAAAUGAAAAACUUUUGAAUACAAAGUUGUUAGAGAGCAUUAAGAUCUACAUUUGAUAUAUUGACCAUUUUUCCAUUUGGAUAAAUUUGAGCCAAUCCUAAGCACAUUUGUUCAAAAUCCAAGACGGGUUUUGGUCAAACUUGGUCAAAUAACAAACUAAAUUACUUCAAAUGAAAAAAUUAUGAAUACCAAGUUGUUAGAUAUCAUCAAGAUCUAAACUUUUUAUAUACACAAUUUUUCCAUUUGAGAAAGUUUAAGUUAACAAUACCCACCAAAUCUUAAAUCUCACACAAACUGUAUAAAACUAUAUGUGUCAAUUGUGGAUUUUCAACUACACCUUCCCAAAACUUUGUCAAAUGCAAAAGUGGUCUAUAUAUUAAAUGUAGAUUUUGAUGAGUGCAACAAUAUUGGUUUUCAUGACUUUUCCAUUCGAGACCAUCUAGGGUUCCGAAACCGCUGCGUGGCUAUGAAUUCUCUGAAAAUUCAAAAUUCAAUGGUUCAAACUUUUCCAAAUGAAAAGUUGACCAUUAGACAAAAUGUAUAACUUGAUAAGUGUAUCAAACUUUGUAUUCAUGACUUUUUCAUUUGGGACCAUCUAGGGUUCGGUCAAAGGGUGUUUUUGUAAAAACUAAUGCUUUGACUUUGGUCAAACUUGAUCAAAUGGUCCAUUUGAUGACUUCAAAUGAAAAAAAUUUGAAUACAAAGUUGUUAGAGAUCAUCAAGAUCUACAUUUGAUAUAUUGACCAUUUUUCCAUUUGGAUAAAUUUGAGCCAAUCCUAAGCACAUUUGUUCAAAAUCCAAGACGGGUUUUGGUCAAACUUGGUCAAAUGACAAACUAAAUUACUUCAAAUGAAAAAAUUUUGAAUACCAAGUUGUUAGAUAUCAUCAAGAUCUAAACUUUUUAUAUACACAAUUUUUCCAUUUGAGAAAGUUUAAGUUAAUAAUACCCACCAAAUCUUAAAUCUCACACAAACAGUAUGAAACUAUGUGUCAAUUGUGGAUUUUCAACUACACCUUCCCAAAACUUUGUCAAAUGCAAAAAUGGUCAAUAUAUUAAAUGUAGAUUUUGAUGAGUGUAACAAUAUUGGUGUUUAUGACUUUUUCAUUCGAGACCAUCUAGGGUUCCGAAACCGCUGUGUGGCUAUGAAUUCUCUGAAAAUUCAAAAUUCAAUGGUUCAAACUUUUCCAAAUAAAAAGUUGACCAUUAGACAAAAUAUAGAACUUAAUGAGUGUAUCAAACUUUGUAUUCAUGACGUUUUCAUUUGGGACCAUCUAGGGUUCGGUCAAAGGGUGUGUUCAUCAAGAUAUAUAUUUUUAUAUGAUAAAUAGAUUUUUUAUUUGAUGAAAACUAUACUCAACUAGCAUUCCUAGUAAUAAAUAACAAAAAUAAAAAGUUUUACGUCAAUAUGAUGUGAAAAUAAAUUUCCAAUUGAUUGGAUAUAGUUUUUGUAAAUUUAUUGGAAUAAUAUAUUUUUACAUUAACAAAAUACUAAACAUUUCUUACAAAAUCAUUGCAAAUUAUAAAAAAUACAAUAAGAUAUUUAAGUUUAAAAUUUUUCAUGUGUACAUUAAAAAAAUUACAAUAUAUGUCACUGUUUAAAAAAUAUUCUACAAAAUAUUUAAUUUACUAUACAAUUUAUAAUAUAAACUGUAUAUAUAAACAAUUGAAAAACCCUAAACUAAAAAACAGGGCCUAGCACCGGCCCAUAGUGGGAACCAGUGCUAAAGGGUCUUGAAAAUUUCAGGAGCCCGCCCUAGCGCGCGCAGGACCCUUUAGCACCGGUCCGUGGCUGGCACCGGUGCUAAAGGGUCCCUUUAGCACCGGCAGGUAACACGAGCCGGUGCUAAAGGGUCACCCUUUAACACCGGCGCGUGUUACCAGCCGGUGUUAAAGACCCUUUAGCGCCGGUUCCAGCCACGGACCGGUGCUAAAGGGUCCGCCCCUAUAUAAGUGAGCAGUUGCCCUAGAUCCGCAGUUCCUUCGUCUUCGUCUACGUCUCCAGCGCCGCCGCGUUCAUCUUCGCCACUGUCGUCGUUUCCACUCCCUCGCCGCCGCGACCGUCUCCACCAGCGCCGCCGCGACCCUCCACCAGCACCGCCGCGGCCCUCCUCCAACGCCGCCGCCGCGGCCAUCCACCAGCGCAGCGGGCCACCAGCGCGCGCGGGCCACAUCUUCUACGUCGAUCGAGAACUCCGGCCGUCUCCUCGCUCCUAUGUACCAGAUCAAUCGAACUUCAGCUAAAUGAUCUGCAAAAUGAAUGAAUUGUUAUGAUAUAUAUAUAUAUAUAUAUAAUAAAUGUAUAUAUAUAUGUAUAUAUAUAUAAUAAAUAUAUAUAUUUGUAUAUAUAUGUACAUAUAUACAUUUGUAUAUAUUGUGUUUUGAAUUGUUAUGAUAUAUAUGUACAUAUAUACAUUUGUAUUAUUUUUAGUAUAUUUUUCUAGUAUAUUAGUAAUUCUAGUGUUUUGUAUAUAUUAUUGUUUGUACUAUUAUUCUAGUAUUAUUUUUAGUAUAUUAUUCUAGUAUAUUAGUAAUUCUAGUGUUUUGUAUAUUUUAGGGUUUGUACUAUUAUUCUAUUAUUUUUAGUAUAUUAUUCUAGUAUAUUAGUAAUUAUAGUGUUUUGUAUAUUUUAUUGUUUGUACUAUAAUUCUAUUAUUUUUAGUAUAUUAUUAAUUCUAGUGUUUUGUAUAUAUAUUAUUGUUUGUACUAUUAUUCUAGUAUUGUUUUUAGUAUAUUAUUCUAGUAUAUUAGUAAUUCUAGUGUUUUGUAUAUUUUAUUGUUUGUACUAUUAUUCUAUUAUUUUUAGUAUAUUAUUCUAGUAUAUUAUUAAUUCUAGUGUUUUGUAUAUAUAUUAUUGUUUGUACUAUUAUUCUAGUAUUAUUUUUAGUAUAUUAUUCUAGUAUAUUAGUAAUUCUAGUGUUUUGUAUAUAUUAUUGUUUGUACUAUUAUUCUAGUAUUAUUUUUAGUAUAUUUUUCUAGUAUAUUAGUAAUUCUAGUGUUUUGUAUAUAUUAUUGUUUGUACUAUUAUUCUAGUAUUAUUUUUAGUAUAUUUUUCUAGUAUAUUAUUAAUUCUAGUGUUUUGUAUAUAUUAUUGUUGGUACUAUUAUUCUAUUAUUAUUUUUAGUAUAUUAUAAAUUCUAGUGUUUUAGUAUAUUAUGAAUUCUAGUGUUAUUGUUAGUAUUAUUGUUUUAGUAUAUUAUUCUAGUGUAUUUCUUAUCUUAUAUAGAAUAUAUAUAUAUAUAUAUAUAUAUGUAUGGUUGCAGACAUAGAAAUGGCUGACCUUGCUCAUGAUGAUCCUGAUUAUAUGGAAGAUGCCAUUCAACAUAUGAUCGACGACGGUAGUCAGUACUUUAUUGAUUACAACGAGAUCAUGGAAGGCAAUUCGACUGAACAACAAGAGGGCAAUGCCCCUGAGCAACAAGAGGGCAAUGCGCCUGAGCAACAACUUGUCGUGCAACAAGAAGGAAAUACUGACGAGGUAUGUAAAUGUAAACAUAUAUAAUGCAUCUGUUACAUUAGGUUUUAGACUUACUUGGUUAUUAAUUUAGUAUUUUUGUUUCUAUAUCUACGUGUAGCCUUCUGGAUCGACCUCUACGGGGAGAAGCGUACCUCCACGAGGGCCAAAGAAGCCGUUGGAGGGCCGCUAUGUAAUCUCUGAGUUUGAGAUAGCUACAGGCAGACCACUUGGUGAACAUGCAAAUAAAUAUCUUAGUCACUGUAGAUAUCUUGUGAGAGAUCAAAUACCGAUUAGUGCUCGAGAAUGGAGAGAGAAGCGAGGUGCUCCUGAGAUCAAUUUUGUCUCUGAUCGUGACAAGGAGUUAGUUUGGAAAGCCGUCACAGACGUUUUCACCUUCGACACCAACGAUGAAGAGUUGAAGGUGCGAAUUUAUGACUGGACUAUGAAGAAGAUGGCAGUACUGUUCCAGAAUUGGAAGAAGACUUUGUACAAUAAAUUUGUCAAGAAAAACGAGACUCUAAAUUUCAACCUCAAGCAAUUUGUAAAACUGAGGGCCUUCUGGGAUGACUUCGUGCAGUACAAAACAUCAGAAGAGGGCGAGGAACGAGCCAUUAGAAAUAAAGAGAAUGCAAGUAAAAAAGUUUGCUCACAAAACUUGUAAUUGUUUUCUUUGCAGGGACUCCUCCAACCUAAGUCCAGUUCUCUCCCCAGCGCAUCAUAGUGCUGCGGGCGGUAACAAUGCUGGAUCUCCUCCAAUACCUGCGGCGGCCACACCGACCCCGCCACCGCCUCCACCACGGUCUCCACCUCCUCCACCGAGGUCUCCAACUCCUCCACCGCGUUCUCCAACAUCGAAAAGAUCGGCCCCACCACCUCCACCGCCGGCACCGCCCUCUCCAAAGAGUGCACGGUCGGUCCCCUCGCUUCCAAAGCGAGGUAGUCAGAAGCGGUCCGCCCAAGAACGACCGAAGUCAUCGGUCCCACCUCCAAAGAAGGCUGCCUCAACAAAGAGAGCUAAGACACCAGAAAAAUUACCUUACGAAAAGAGUGAAGAGGAGGUAAUUGCUGCAUCCAAAGCUGAGGUGAAACAAUUUUUUGAUAAAUUGAAGGAGGAUAGAAAAAAACGGCUUAACCAGAAAAGUUGUACUUUUAUGUAAAGCCAUCGGAACUGAGGUAGAAGGUGGCGGACCGGCAAAAGAAGCAACGCGAAGCUCAGAAAAAGCCAGCACUUUCGGACUAUGAGCGGUCUGUGGUCAAGUCUUCACAGCCUAAGAAGAGAGUAGGAAAGGGGGUCCCACAGCUCGGAGAAGUAUCAAAACCGGUGCCCCCUUUGAUUGUGCCAAAUCAAUACGGCUCAAAUGAAGAAUUGAUGCCAAAGAAAUCCUUAGCUUUGUCUGAGCUAGACUCGCUUGAGCGUUACUUUGGACAGAGCGGUUUAAAUAUGGAAGAAAUUGCCGCCAUUCUUGGAUGCCAAAUAUUUGAAAAAGCCGAGGUAGUUGAUUAUUGGAGGGUAAGAUAUGAACCGGGCAGAAGUCUAUUCGACCCUCAGCGUUUACACGAGCUCGGCACAUAAAUGUUUGCAAUAAACAAAUGGUGCAUUGAGGCGUCUAAAAGGGGAGAGAAUUGGAUUUCUGUCCGUAUUAGACAACAUCACUACUUCCGUGGAGAUGACCUCAUAUACGUGCAGUUCGAAGAAUUGCACCAAUUAUGUCACCUCGACGCUCUCGACAAAUCUCUUGUCAGCUGCUUCUGUCUGUAAGUAUUUUUUUCUUUUUAUUAUACUUCUUUCUUCUUUAAUUACAUGUAUAUAAUCCUUACACACUUAGGAUUUGUAUGUAUAUAUGCAGACACCAAAUGAGAGAGCUCAGAAUCAGGAAUGACAAUAGUAUUGGGUUCGUUGACCCUUAUAUUGUUUUCAAAGCUCCGCAGGCAGUGUGGACAGCAGCUCAUGAGACAAAAGUCUGCACCAAUCUUAUGAGGUUCUUUGUGAACCAAAAAGAAAAACAAAAAAUACUCUUCCCCUUCAACUUCGAGUGAGUUAUAUAGUUAUUAAGUGCAUGCAUAUUUUAUUUUAUUAAUUAUUACUCGAGACAAGUUUUAUAUAGUUAUAUAUAGGCCUGACUAUAUAUAUGUGUAAACAGCUUUCACUGGAUACUCAUGGUCAUUGAAAUUUCCAAGAACCGGUUGACAAUCUUUGACUCAAUGAGAAAACCACAAGAAAAUUAUCAACAAAUGGUAAACAUUAUUCAAAGGUACGUAAUGUCGAUCUCAGCUAGAAGAAUAUCAUAAUAUGACUAUGUAAUUAUUAGUUCACGAUCCACAAUGGCUGUGUGUAGGGUUUGGGAAAGAUUCAUUGACCGUGAACAUCUCAGUGGAUGUAAAGCGCCGCUUAACAUAAUACAUCCACAAGUAAGUUCUACUAGCUAGCAAACUUUCGCUAACUUUUAGCCUUCUUAUUGUUGUGGUCGUGAAUAUUUUUUAUAUAUAUAUAUCGUACAGUGGUGUUUAAGACAAGAAAGAGGGAACAAUCUAUGUGCAUACUACGUGUGCAAAUUCAUGAUGGCACAAGUCAAUCAAACACCCACAGAGACGCUUAGAGUACGUUACAUGUCUCUUUUCAUUAUCUCCAGAAUUAUAUUGAAUAACUUAGAUAACUAAUACCUUUUUUAUUUAUUUCAAAUUAAAGACGGAAUGGUUGAGGGAAAAGGUCAUACAAAAGACCGAAUCAAAGCUAUCCAAGAGACGAUAGCAGGAUUUCUCCGCGAGCAAGUUGUCAAUCCAAACGGCGAGUUUCACUUCAACGGCAACGAAACUCUUAUUCCAAACAACGAUGAUCAUUUGUAUCGUUUGUAGACAUUGGAAGAAAAAACUCUAUGUAUAUAUGUGUUACGAAUUUUAUAUAUAUAAAGCUUUUUACAUAUCUAUUUAAUUUUUGAUGUGACCUAUUCAUUUUAUUAUAGGCAAAGCUUAAUUAUUAAGCUAAGCCUAUAAUUUUCAUUUAUAUAUGCCUAAUAUGCGUGUAAUAUAAAUAUAUUAUUAUAUCAGCAAAAACAUGUAUUGGAAAACCUAUUAUUAUUAUAUAAAAAUAAUAAACAGAACCGAAGAAGAGAACCAAAAAAAACACUUUAACAACACCAACCGGUGUUAAAGGGUCCUGCAACGUGGCAGCCCUGACAGGUACCAACCGGUGUUAAAGGGGGGGCUUUAGCCCCGGUUCCCCGAACCGGGACUAAAGAGUGGGCCUUUAGUCCCGGAAGGGCAGCACCGGCUCGGGAACCGGGGCAACAGGCCCUUCCCGACCGGUGCUAAUGCCCGAUCUUGCUGCAGUGGUGCAAAGUUUUGAAAACAUUCUUAGAUGUUGAUUACAAUGUUUUGGAAAAUUUCUAGAAUUUUUAGAUAUUUUCUCAUUUUCUUAGAGCUAAAUCUUAUUUUAAGCUUCAAGGUAAUUUUUUAUGAGCUUUAAAUAUUUUACUUGGAUUCUUCAUACCCUAAACCUUGUCAAGUAUUUAUUACUUGCUUAACUUAGAAAGGACAAAAUCACUUCAACCAAGCCACUGAGGUAAAAUUUGAAUGGUUUGGUUGUGGAAGUUUAUAUUAUGGGGGUAAGCUGUCUGGUUUUAGAGUUUAAGAAAAAAAAUCAGACUAUGACUGAUAAUUGAGGAGAUAAAAUGAACUUUUUUCCUAUAUAAAUAUAAUGAGGCAGAGGCUGGAGGUGGAAAUAUAGGAGGCCCAGCGGCUUGGGUUGGGCUGAGCAGGCGCCAGCAGACAGCAUUGGCCGUUGUCCGGCCAGGGCGCCACCACCGUGGGCGUGCCUAGCGCCCGGACGUCGAGUCUGCUGCUCUAUGCUGCUGGUACGCAUGCGCGACUCCUACUACGGCUUUGUUUAGUUCACCCCGAAAUACAAAAAGUUUUCAAGAUUUCCUGUCACAUCGAAUCUUGAGGCACAUGCAUGAAGCAUUAAAUAUAGACAAAAACAAAAACUAAUCGUACAGUUUGACUGUAAAUCACGAGAUGAAUCUUUUGAUCCUAAUUAGUAUAUGAUUGGACAAUAUUUACCACAAACAAACGAAAGUGCUACAGUUCCGAAAACUUUUCAGUUUUCGGAACUAAACAAGGCCUACUUUACAUGUUGCACGACUGCUACAGUGCUACUACUUUACAUGUCGUACGCUUGCUGUAUGCAAUGCAACGCAUGUCGCAUGCUGCUUGCUUGGCAUGCUGCCAGUAGAACGAAGAGCCCCGCUAAGAGAAAGACCGGCGCCAAGUGCUAGACAGAAAAAUAUACUACAUUAAAAAGAUAGAGAAUUAGGAUAUUGUCAAACUGCUAAAGAUGCUCUCAUGUGCCAUCGCUGUUUGCUCUGCCGCUAUGCAUGCUGCUACAUCUGCGCGCAGCGGGCCGCCUCCUGCUACUACCCAUGCUACUGCACGCUGGGCAUGAUCUUGGGCAUCACCCGUGCCCGCUUCGCUUCCCACACACUACUCUCGCGGGACCGUCUUCGCUGGCUUCUUGCGCUUGCCAAUAACAAUACUUGCAACAUAUAUUUAGGCUCCAUAAUUUGGUUGCGUGAGUUAAACUUUAACUCUUAUUAUAUCGAAUGUUUAGACACAUAUAUAGUGUAUUAAAUAUAGACUAUUUAGAAACUAAAAACAUAGAUAGAGAGUAAUUUGUGAGACGAAUCUUUUAAGCCUAAUUAGAGUAUCUCCAAGGGUUUUGCAUUUGAGGUUUCCAUUUGAGUAAUUUGUCAAAAAACUCCAAAAAAAGUAUCCAACGGUUUUGCAUUUGGAGUUUGCAAUUUAGGCAACUUAGCAAAUGAGGGAGCAAACUUGGCAAAAAUACCAAGCUGUGGACGACUUUGCAAACCCGAUCGCACGAGUAAAGUCCCGCGCGAGGAAAGCGCGCGCACCUGGAGACCUACUAUUUUUAUCCUUUGCCAAGUCCAAAUGUCAAUUCCCUUGGAGAUAACCUAUUUUUAUCGUUUGCAUUUUGUUAUGGGAGUUUGCAAAUAGCAACAAAUGCCAAGUCAAUUUGCCAAAGCCUUUGAAGAUGCUCUAGUCUAUGAUUAGACACUAAUUGGCAAAUAAAACAAAAAUACUAUAGUACCUGUUAAACUUUAACACACCCAACCAAACGCCCCCUUAGAGACAGAUACUGAUCCAUCGGAUGGUGCCAUGGACACAAGGACGUCGCGCCCUUCGUCCCAUGCCUCCUGUACCACACGGGAUCAAGCCAGCCUUGCCUGCACGAACAGAUCAAAGAUCAGAACCGCCCAUCCUCUCCUCCUCGGGCACGGAACCUGCCUGCCCCCAAUGUGCUCGGAACCCAUCGGGCCCCAACCUCGAACGCGCCCCUGCAAACAGAGUGGAUCGAAUAGAACGGGUUUCCCAUCCGGCCCCCCAACCUCGCCCGCCUCUAAUGCACUCUCAUUAGAAAAAUGUUUGCAACAUCAAACAAAGCGCAGCGAGAUGAAAUUCAGAACAACUCUAUUGCAACAUCGGAACAAGAGUGACUGCAACAAAACAAAGCUAGCUACAAUACGAGAUGCAACAUUAAUAAAAUACUAAUGCAAUAAAGAAAAAUUACAUGUUGCAAUAGUAAACCAAAGCUACUGCAACAACAAAAACAAAGCGAUGAGAUGCAACAUCAGAAAAAAGACUAAUGCAAUAAAGAAAAAUUAUGUUAAAAAUUUAGACAUUUUAAUGUUUGAUUUAAUCCAGAAAAUUACGCAUAAAAUUGUGGUGGCAUAUAUUUGCACGUGUGCAAUUUUAUCACUACUCAAAUUAGAGAUAAACAUUGCAAAUACUACUGCAACAACAACAGACAUACUGAAAACGAAAAACAAUCGUUUAAGAUUGUACCCUGAGGAGGGACCGGUGCCGAAGGCACCAGCGGCUCCAUUCGCACUAGUCGACAUAGUGCGUUGCUCAAAGUAGCGGACUACAGUCGAUGCAGGAAGAUGUUCGGAGUGCAGUCCCGCGAACGUCCACUAGGAAGAAGACGAAGACGCUGUAGUCGAUCUCGAUUCGCCGGAGUGGAAGAAGACGAUCUCGCCGGUGAGCCGUCGCGGAAGACGCUCCCAAAAACCUGAUUGCCCGCACACCCGAGCAGGUCUCUCGAUGCAAGGAGUCGGGUUCCGGAGGCCUGCUCUCCCGAUCUCUGUGCGCGCAGAGGUUCGGGACGGAGAUGGACAGAGAGCAACUCGAUAGGAAGAGAACAAGACAAGACAAGCAAGCAAGCAAGCACGCACGGCACGGCUCGGCUCGGCGGCGGCGGCGUGCGCGUGUGGCACCCCUUUUCUCUCCCUCAACUUCUCCAUAGGAGCUAACAAAGGCCACCUAUUUAAGUUGAGUUAACACAUGGUCAAUCAUCAAUAUGGUACUAAACCAUUUUCAUUAUAGCAUUAAUUAUGGGCCCUUGAAUUAAUCAUCAAAUAUAAUUAUGGGCUAAAAGCCCAUUAUAUUCAACAAUCCCCACAUAUUUAUAGGGCAUAUAAGAAAAGCUCUCGAGUUUCCAUGUCGUUUCAUAUACCAGUCGUUUCGGUGGAGACUGUUAAGUUGAACUUCCACCUAGAGUACAGACUACACUUAGUCACAACUUGAACAAUGGACUAUGCCUUGAAUUGCAAGUUUUGUGUGAUAUAAGUUUCAUCUACACUCAUAACUGAUACCGGGUUGCAUGAACAUCCCCUCUGGUUGAAGCAUAUAAGUCAUACUUCUGGCCCAUUCAUGAGUAUCUAGAGAUCACCCAAAUCUCAUAGACUGUGACUAGCAGUCAAACUCAUAUAGGUGUAUUCCUUAAAGAUGUUCUGUAGGACAACAUCUAUCGCUUCUCAAGCCGCUUUGGAAUACAUUAAGGUACAAAACCAUCCUACCUUACAGACUUAGGAAAGAAGUGCAAUUGAGAUGAGUUAAGUAAAAGGUCUUUCCUCACAAUCUACUUCUGGCUUGUUUCACCAUUCUACUUUACGGGAUCUCCGAUCAUAUAGAACAGGUUGCCACCAUGGUAGACCUCACGUGAGUCUCAAACCCAUCUCACUCGAUGCACUAUCUAUCACAUUACGUGAUAGUCCCUUUGUGAAUUGAUCUGCCAGAUUCUUGGACGUAUGAACAUAGUCCAAUGCUAUAACUCCGGAGUUUCUCAAUUUUCUGACAGUCUUCAACCGUCGUUUGACAUGCCUAGUAGACUUCAUGUUGUCCUUAGAACUGUUGACUUUAGUGAUUACCGUUUGAUUGUCACAGUUCAUGGAAAUAGCUCGCACAGGUUUUUCAACCACCGGUAGAUCCAUCAGGAGUUCACGAAGCCACUCGGCCUCAGCGCCGACGGUGUCUAAUGCUGUGAGUUUUGCUUCCAUGGUUGACUUCGUUAAGAUAGUCUGCUUGCAAGACUUCCAUGAAACAGCGCCACCUCCAAGCAGAAACACAUAUCCACUUGUGGCCUACACAUCAGCAUCAGAUAUCCAAUUUGCAUCACAAUAACCCUCUAAUACCUUUGUGUAUCCGGUAUAGUGAAUGCCAUAGCUCAUACUACCUUUCAGAUAGCGCAUCACUCUCUCAAGAGCUUGCCAAUGAAUAUCUCCCGGAUUUGACACAAACCGGCUAAGUUUGCUCACUGCAAACGAGAUAUCAGGCCUCGUGGCACUAGCAAGGUACAUCAAUGAGCCUAUAAUUUGGGAGAAUCUUAGUUGAUCCCUUGCUAUUCUUCGAUUUUUCCUCAAUAGCACACUAGGAUCAUAAGGCGUAGGAGCAGAUUGACAGUCAUUGUACCCAAAGCGACUUAAAAUCUUUUCCACAUAGUGGGACUGCACAAGUGUAAUCCCACCAUUGCCUUCUCUUGAAAGCUUAAUGUUUAGAAUAACAUCAACUUCUCCCAAAUCUUUCAUCUCAAAGUUAUUAGAUAAAAAGUCUUUAACUUCCUUGAUCACAUCAAGGCUUGUCCCAAGGAUCAGUAUGUCAUCCACGUACAGACAAAGGAUCACACCUUCACCCCCACCAAACCGAUAGUACACACAUUUGUCAGCUUCAUUAACAGCAAAGCCGGCAGAAGUUAAGGUUCUGUCAAACUUCUCAUGCCAUUAUUUUGGAGUUGUUUUAGGCCAUAAAGGGAUUUUAAAAACUUACACACCUUGCCCUUUUAACCACUUGUUACAAAUCCAUCAGGCUGAUCCAUAUAGAUCUCUUCCUCUAACUCUCCAUUUAGGAAAGCUGUCUUUACAUCCAUCUGAUGAACGAGAAGACCAUGAGAGGCAGCCAAAGACAGUAACACUCGAAUUGUGGUCAAACGGGCAACAGGUGAAUAAGUAUCAAAGAAAUCUUUCCCUUCUCUUUGGAUAUAACCCUUAGCCACAAGCCUAGCCUUGUACCUCUCAAUUGUACCAUCAGGCCUAAGCUUUUUCUUGAACACCCAUUUACACCCUAUAGGUUUACACCCAUAAGGCCGUUCAACCACUUCUCAAGUUUCAUUAGACAUUAUAGAAUUCAUCUCAUUCCUUAUUGCUUCCUUCCACAAGUCAGCAUCAGGAGAGGAAAAUACCUCUUUAAUGGUUGUUGGGGUAUCAUCCACGAGGUACACAAUAUAGUCAUCUCCAAAAGACUUCACUUUUCUUUGUCUUUUGCUCGUUUGAGUGACUACAUUAUCAUCCUCCUCAGGAUAGUGAACAUGGGGUUCAUCAGAUUGUUCUAUCAGAAUAAAUUGCUCAUGGGAGUUUAUAGACUCAUGACUAGAAAUAUUAGGUGUACUUUUCAUAGGAAACUCACUUUCAAAGAAUGUUGCAUCUCUAGAUUCCAUUAUAGUACCAACAUGCAUAUCUGGUACUCCAGAAUUUAUAAUUAAAAACCUAUACCCUAUGCUGUGAGUAGCAUAACCAAGGAAAAUACAGUCAACUGUCUUAGGUCCGAGUUUGCGUUUCUUGUUUAUUGGCACAUUCACUUUAGCCAAACAAGCCCAAGUACGCAAAUAGAAGACAUUUAUUCUUUUCUUUUUCCAUUCCUCAAAUGGUGUGAUUUCUUUAUUCUUUGUAGGAACUCUAUUCAGGACAUGACACGCUAUCAAUAUCGCCUCACCCCACCAUUCCUUAGAUAGACCCAAAGUCUCUAACAUAGCGUUAACCAUCUCAGUUAGAGUACGGUUCUUUCUUUCGGCAAUCCCAUUGGACUAUGCUGAGUAUGGCGGUGUCCUCUCAUGAAUAAUUCCAUGUUCUACGCAGAAGUCAGAAAAAUCACUUGAAAAAUAUUCUCCACCACGAUCGAACCUUAAGCGUUUAAUUUUCCUCUCAAGUUGAUUUUCUACUUCAGCUUUAUAGGCUUUAAAAUAUUGUAAUGCUUCAUCCUUUGUUUUAAGCAAAUACACAUGACAAAAUCUAGUACAAUCGUCUAUAAAAGUAAUGAAGUAUCGUUUACCACCUUUAGUCAACUCACCAUUCAUCUCGCAUAGAUCGGAAUGGAUUAAUUCUAAUGGUGCCAAGUUCCUCGCCUCCGCAGCCUUGUGAGGCUUGCGAGGUUGCUUGGAUUGCACGCAUACAUGGCACUUAGAAUCUUUGACUAAAUUAAAUUUCGGAAUUAAAUUCAUAUUUGCUAGCCACGUUAAACAACCAUAAUUAACAUGACAAAAUCGCGAAUGCCAAAUAUUCGACUCAUUCGAAAUCACAGUAUGGUUCACGAUUUUAUUACACACAUCAGUAUGGAACAAGCCUCCGCAAUCAUAACCUUUACCAAUAAAAGUUCCAAACUUUGAAAGUAUAACUUUAUUGGCCUCAAAGACUAUUUUGUAGUCAUCUCUACAAAGCUGUGAGCCAGUAAAUAGAUUCUUUUUGAUGGAGGGGACAUGCUGCACGUUCUUCAUCAGCACCGUCUUUCCCGAAGUGAACUUCAGAAUUACCGUACCAACACCAAGAACACGCGCAUGAGAGCCGUUCCCCAUCAGUAAGGCUCCAGUGUUGCCGGCCUGAUAAGAAGAAAACAAAGAGAUGUCAGCACACACAUGAACAUUAGCCCCAGUAUGCAUCCACCACUCAGGUGAAUGACAGACUGAAAGAAUAGUGGGUAAAUAAUUACCAUACCCAGAUGUUCCUCCUUCAGCCUCGCCAAUGACCAUGUUUACUGACUUUUUCUCUUCUCGUUUCAAUUUACGGUCUGGACAAGCACUCGCCCAGUGGUCAUCGCUACCUCAAACAAAGCAGCCUCCAUCUGCCUUUAUCUUCUUAAAAGUCGCAGUUUGUUUUGGCUUUGGAUUUGCCCAUUGCUUGUUCUCUUGCUUGUUUUUUUUCUUAUUACGGAAUGCGAAUUGCUUUUUCUUCUGCACCACAUUGGCACUAGAAGACUCAACGCCUUUCCCAUGUGUAUCUUUUGCUCUCGCCUUCUCCUCAACAUCAAGAGUUCCCAUGAGUUCGGCAAGACCAAACUCUUUCCUCUGAUGCUUUAGAGAAGUAGCAAAAUCCUUCCAAGAAGGUGGCAGCUUAGCGAUUAUACCGCCGGCCACAAACUUUUCAGGCAACACACAAGGGAAUUGUUCUAGUUCCUUAGCUAGUGCCUGUAUCUCAUGUGCUUGUUCAAUCACAGAAUGGCUAUCCACCAUCUUGUAAUCAAACAAUUGUUCUAUGAGGUACAGCUCGCUACCAGCAUCAGAAACCCCGAACUUGGCCUCAAGCGCAUCCCAUAAUUCCUUAGCAGUGGUGCAAAUGAUAUAGUUGUCAACGUACUUUUUAUCGAGCGCACUAAUCACGGCGCAUCUGAAGAGAUUAUCAGCAGCCAUGAACGUUUGCUCCUCCUCAGGAGUAAAUUGUUCCGGCUUCCCCUCCGCGGCGUGAUAGCAACUCAUAGCAGUUAACCACAAUAUCAUUCUCACGCGCCACCGCUUAUAGUUUGAACCAUCAAAUAGAUCCGGUUUUAACGCAGGAGCAAAACCACUAACAGAAAAAUGCCUAAUAUCAGGUUUUUGGAUUGUUAAAAAUUUAGACAUUUGAAUGUUUGAUUUAAUCCAGAAAAUUACGCAUAAAAUUGUGGUGGCAUAUAUUUGCACGUGUGCAAUUUUAUCACUACUUAGAUUAGAGAUAAACAUUGCAAAUACUACUGCAACAACAGCAAACAUACUGAAAACGAAAAACAAUCGUUUAAGAUUGUACCCUGAGGAGGGACCAGUGCCAAAGGCACCGGCGGCUCCAUUCGCACUAGUCGAUAUAGUGCGUUGCUCGAAGUAGCGGACCACAGUCGAUGCAGGAAGAUGUUCGCAAUGCAGUCCCGCGAACGUCCACCAGGAAGAAGACGAAGACGCUGUAGUUGAUCUCGAUUCGCCGGAGUGGAAGAAGACGAUCUCGCCGGUGAGCAGUCGCGGAAGACUCUCCCCAAAAACCUGAUUGCCCGCACACCCGAGUAGGUGUCUCGAUGCAAGGCGUCGGGUUCCGGAGGCCUGUUCUCCCGAUCUCUGUGCGCGCAGAGGUUAACUCGACAGGAAGAGAGAAGACUGAAUGUGUGUCUCGCAGGGAUGGAAAGAGUGUGUGCGUAUGGAAUAUAUAGGCCCCAGGCAAUCAAUCACAAUUAAUUGCCAUAAACGAGACAAUCAAUUGCAACGGUCAGAUCCCGUUUUCCUCCCUUUUCUUAUUCACCACGCGUGUGCCACGUCACGUCACGCUCGCUCGUCUCGACCUCGACAAGACAAGACAACGCACGCACGACACGGCUCGGCUCGGCGGCGGCGGCGUGUGCGUGUGGCACCCCUUUUCCCUCCCUCAACUUCUCCAUAGGAGCUAACAAAGGCCACCUAUUUAAGUUGAGUUAACACAUGGUCAAUCAUCAAUAUGGUACUAAACCAUUUUCAUUGUAGCAUUAAUUAUGGGCCCUUGAAUUAAUCAUCAAAUAUAAUUAUGGGCUAAAAGCCCAUUAUAUUCAACAAAUUAUUUGUUGAAAUAGCAAACCAAAGCUACUGCAACAACAAUAAAACAAAAGCACGGUGCGAGAUGCAACAUCAAAAAAAGACUAAUGCAAUAAAAAAACUUAUUGUAAGAGCGAAACAACACUACUGCAACAACAGAAAUAAAAAUGCACAUACAAUUGUAAUAUAUGUGUAUAACCACUAUGCAACUUGCAUAUAAAACGCUUUCAACGUACGUCUAAAAAUAGCUAAAACAUUUGAAACAUAUAUGUGUAUAGUCAUUACAACAUAUGCGACACUAAAUCUACUUUUACAAUAUCCACUGAAACAUUUAAAACAUAUAAUUACAAAAUGCAUGUAUAGUCAUUGCAACAUAUGCAACACCGUAUCUACUUCUGUGAUAUUCGAAUGAAACAUAUACAACAUCUAGAUGAAAUAUAUGAAACUUACAUAUAAAACGAAUGAAACAUAGGUUGACGCCGCUAUAGAGCUCAUUGGCGUGCACGGACCUCAACAGUGGCAUGAGCAAGCGGACGAAGACACAGUGGAGCGGUAAAUUCAUGCUGACAGGGCACAUGGCACGGACGUGUCUGACGACCACAACUAUGAUGCCGAGUUAUCUCAAGAACGCAGCCCAACAAAUGCCGCUGUUCUACGUCAUGCUGGAGCCGUCAUCCGAGCCCACACCACCACAACGUCCUCCCUCGCCUUCUGCGGCACCACGCACGACAUCUACGACACUGAGUCUGUCUAUGGCCACAUAAUGGCGAGCUGCUCCGCUGGAGAAGGCGACCGAUGUGGUGGAUAAUGCCACAGCGACAAGUGGAUGGCCUGACAGAGAGGAAGGAUGACGGACAGUGGCGCUGGAGCGUGGUGGAGAGAGAGCCCGGUGUUCAGUCUGGCGCGGUGAGAGCGCAACAGCCAUAUGGACGGGGCGUUCAGUCUGGCAUGGUGAGAGUACAAUGGUGGCGUAGACAGUGGUGCGGUGAAUAGAAUAGAAAGGUCGACGGCUCACGAGCAGAUAUGGUUUAGGCGAGAGUGGAUACACAUGUGGAGAAUUGAGCUGGUGUCUCGCCUGGUGUCGUGGCCCAUUAGGAUAGCAUCCGGACAGACGGACAUCCUUAACAUACCAAUACCGAUUUAUUAUGUCUUUCACCAGUGUAGAGGCAUACUGUAUAGGCGGCUGUUAACCUAUUUCUACUACCGUUUUUCAGCACCGUCUGCGCUGGAGGCCAGUAGAAAUGGGCCAAUUCUAUAUGCGGGUAACUGAGAACCCUCUGUAGAAAUCUGUGUAUAGAAAAUACAAAAUUGACUUUUAAAAAUAGAAAAAAAAGAUUUUAAUUACAGGGAAGGCCCACUGGCUGGUCGCAAGUCGCGCAUUUUUUCACGUAAAAUCACAUGCUACGCGGCUCGUGGGAUUCGAACCUGAGACCUCGCCCUCGCGUGUAACCUCCCUCUACCACUCCACCUAUCACUUAGAUGUGUCUAUAUUAGAGUUUAGUUCCCCACAUAUUAUCCUAUACUGAGCAUACAUUGAUUAUUUGAGGCCCUAAACGGAUUCAAAAAAGUUGUCAACUAUAAAGUUUCAUAACUUUUCAAGAUCUACAACUUUUAUAUUGGUAGUUUCUCCAUCCGAGGUCAUUUACAAAAUUUGAAUUUCAAAUUUGAGAAAUUCAAACGUUGUUUUCGACGACAAGAUUAUCUCAAAUGAAAAAAUUAUCAACUAUAAAAUUUUAUAACUUUUCGAGAUCUGCAACUUUCAUUUCGACGGUUUUUUCAAACAAGGUUAUUUGAAAAGCUCAAAAAAUUUAAUUUCAAAUUAUUUCUACAGGCGAUUUUCUUAAACAACCGCGUGUAGAAAUCUGAUUUUUAGUGGCGGUUCUUAGGACAACCGCAUGUAGAAAUGCAUAAUUUCUACAGGCGGUUUUGUUAAUUAGGAAAACCGCCUGUGAAAAUGCAUCUUCACAGACGGUUGAUAGUUCUGCCACCGCCCUUUUUAUAGUACAGGCGCGUGAUAACUACAACCGCUUAUGGUAUUGUCAGCGUCUAGACUCGCGAUCUAGGCACUGACGAGUAUAAGUCUGCGUGACUACCCAAAUUCGGAUGGUGAUGCAAGUGGGACACAGAGAGUUUAUACUGGUUCGGACCAAGAAUGCCCUACGUCCAGUGUGGCUGUAGAUUCUGUAUAACCUUGCACCCAAAGGCGCUUGUAGUAGGGGGUACAAGAUGGUUGCGAGAGAGGGCUAAGUCCCAGGUCUCGGCUUGGUGGUGGAAAGAGUGCGGGUAGCUGCUCUGGAAGAGUGUGACGGUAGUGUAUGCAUGCGUGUGUUCUGGACCUGUGUCCCUUCCAGUUGUGAACCCUGGCUCCCCUUUUAUAGUCUUAAGGGGAAGACAGGUUUUUACAAGAGUAGAUUUCUUCUGUUGAAUGGUGAAAACACAGUCCCGACCCUGCUGAGGCUGGUCCAUCUCGUCCUUGUGGGAUGGUUGACGGCAUGGCUACUCCUGUAGAGGGUUACCGAACCCUGUAGGGGUCGCGGGGGUCGGAUCGCCGGUACUGCUGCAUAUCCUGUCAACAGUGGGAAAUGACCACAAACAGUGGUGCUGAUUUACCUCACCCAUUCCCUUUCUACUGUGCGGUAGUGUGCUACAGUGAACAGGGGUAAGGGUGUAUAGUGACAGAGGUAAGGCCACAGUGACUGGGGUGGUUGAAACAGUCAUCGCCUUGCCCUGCCGCGUUAUGGGGGCCGUCGCGUCCGUCAUGUCGGGGGAAGUCUUGUUGCCCAGGUGGAGUGGGGUCCGGCGCCCGAGCCUUGGACGAGAUUGGGCGAAACGGAGCUUGCGUCCGAGACCCUGAGAGGUCGGGCGAGUCGGAACUAGCGUCCGAGACCCUGAGAGGUCGGGCGAGUCGGAACUGGCAUCCGAGGCCCUGAGGGGUCGGGCGAGUCGGAACUUGCGUCCGAGGCCCUGAGGGGUCGGGCGAGUCGGAACUUGCGUCCGAGGCCCUGAGGGGUCGGGCGAGUCGAAACUUGCGUCCGAGGCCCUGAGGGGUCGGGCGAGUCGGAACUUGCGUCCGAGGCCCUGAGGGGUCGGGCGAGUCGAAACUUGCGUCCGAGACCUUGAGAGGUCGGGCGAGUCGGAACUUGCGUCCGAGGCCCUGAUGAUUGUAAUUAGUAUGUUUCUUCACGUUUUUUGUUGCUCAGAUUUGGGUACCCCUUAUUAUGAUACCCAACAGUAGCCCCCGAGCCUCUGAAGGGGUAGGAUUACCUCUUUAGAGGUUCCUUCCCCGGGGACUGCUUUGUAGCUGACUAGGAGCCUUUUACUGUUGCCGCGGGGUGCGCGCGAGCGCACCCGCCGGGUGUAGCCCCCGAGCCUUUUGGAGGAAUGGUGUUAUUCCUUCAAAGGCUUUCACCCCUUGACAUCUUUAGUCUGGAGUGUUUUAAGGGAUAGGUUGCGCGUUCUUUACACAUAGUGCCUGUUCCCAUCGUGCGAGGAAGCCCCCGAGCCCUUUCCCCGUGAGGGUCGAUCAGGUUCUUUCUCGUCUUGUAAUUACGUCCCUCAUUCUUCCUUUCGCUCGGAGGAGGGGUGGGUCAUGCCGUACUACCCUCGAUGGGCGAGUGACGGCGCUUCCCGGGAGCUACAGGCGGGUAGAUCCGAGUGGAUGUCCGAGCCCCGUUCGAUAGGGGUCGGCUAGUGGCCUUAUGGGCACAUCUCAAAAAGUACCCGAGGGUAGUCACGACGGAUGUCGGAACCGUUCGUUAGGUUCCGAGGGCUCGAUGCCUCCCUCGAUGGGAUCCCGCUCACGUGACACCCGCAUGGGUCUCGGAUAUGACUUGCAAAGACACGCCGACUCCCUGUUGGGCUCGGACCUUGGCCUCUAUUGUGCUCAUCUCCAGUCAUCCCUUGCUCGAUCAUCCUGAGGCGACUGUUCGAACCUGUGUCGCAGGUCAGUCUCGCAACCUCUGGAACGUAGGUGGCCAUGGCCUGGGGAUUUUGGGCCUUGAAAGGCUCUCUUCAGACUCGUUCUUUCGCGUCGGGGUCGGGCGAGACGGAAUCUGACGCCCGACGGAGACCUCCAUGCGACGCUUGGUCAGCGGGGGGUCGGACGCCGUGUCUCUUGGAAGGAACUGCCCUGUCAUAACUUUUCAGGGCGCUCCUUUUGAGGCGCGGCGCGUGGGGACUCAAAACGGCUGUGCCGUCUCGCCCCGGUUUGGACGGGACGUUUCGCCUGCGAAUUUAAUGCGUGCGUGCGGCGGGCGCGGGAAUCGGAGGGAGUUGGCGCUUCGAGUUUUUCACCUGAGUGGGCGACGGUUGCUCUCUUUCUCUCUCUCUUGGCCUUCCUCGCAGGGGCGUGGUCGUGGCUCGCCCCCUUCUAUAAAAGCGGCCGCUGGGGUUUUGGAUUCUUUCCUCUCGCUCCUGCGCCACAAAACCUUUGCCUCCUGCCCCUUCUUCUACCGCCGUCUCUUCCACCUCCAUCACGCAGACUUUCCUCUUCCUCCCAGAGCCAUGGCCGGCGUCGAGGCGUGGCCGCCUAGGAACGUGACCAAGUCCGCGCUGGAGGCGCGCGUGAGGGCCGGGAUUCUUCGUCCUCUCAAGGACAUCGGGUUCCCAGAAUGGAUCGUUCCCUCGGCGAACGACAGGGAGCCAAACCCGCCGCCGGGCUACGUGGUGUGCUUCCUGUCGUUCCUAGACCGGGGGUUCGGGGUUCCGGCCGCCUGAUCAGGGCCAUCCUCCACUACUACGAGGUGGAGUUACACAACCUAAACCCAAACUCGGUGAUGCAGGCCGCCGUCUUUACCACGAUCUGUGAGGGGUACCUGGGGGUUCCUGUCCAUUGGAACCUCUGGCUUCACCUCUUCAAGGCGGACAUGUCGGCCCGCUAUGUGGGGAAGGAGAAGAUCCCCCUGCGGGCCAGCGGCUGCACGCUGCAGCUUCGCCAGCAACGGUCUGGACUGUACAUCUGGAGCACGAUGCCAUCGUCAAACCGGGGGUGGCAGAGCCCGUGGUUCUACCUCCGGAAUGACGGUGGUCUUCUGCCGAAGUACUCCGGAAAGAUGGUGACAGAGGCCCCCCAGAAGUGGGUGUGGGGCGCUCCGGCCGAGGAGCAGAAGAGGCUUGCCCCGCUUCUCGCGGGGCUUCAAAAGUUGAGAGAUGCCGAAGUCACUGCGGCCACGGUGGCAAUCGCCUUCCACAAGAGGAGUUUGCUUCCACUGGCGCAGCGGCGAGUGCCCAUGUUCGAAAUGACCCGGGGGGUCCCUUGGGCAGGGACGAGGAUGUUGGCCGAACCGAUAUCGGCCUCGGACAUCACCGCCCGGGUCGAGAAGACGACGCACCCAGAGAUGAAGAAUUCCCGGGUGGUGCCGAUGCGCCCUGAAAAGGGCUACAUUUCCUUGGUAAGUAUGGAAUUUUUGCGCCUUCUUUUCGUUUCCUUCUUGCCUUUUCCUUGACUCCUGAUCGUCCGCAGAGGAUGGGGGUCGUCAAGGACUCCCUGCCCCCUGUCCCAGAGGACAAGGAGAUCCGGGCCAAGAAUCGGGCCCGGAACGAGGAGCUGAAGAAGGUCAAGGAGGACAAGAAGGCCAAGGCAGCGCGGAAAGCGCAGCGGCGGGAGAUCUCCGCCAAGAACCAUCGCGAAGCUGAGAAGGCGGGGGUCGCCCCGCCUCCGUCUCCCGAGACUUCGGUCUCGGAGAUAGAGGGUGGAGGAGACAGCACCGACUGGCUCGACGAGCUUGCGAAGGAGGAUGACGUUAUCCCUCCAGCCGGCGGGGGGAUCGAGGCCCCGGAGGGUUCGCGGGCCCGAGGGGGGUCGGAGGCCCGAGGUGGGUUGGAGGCCCCCCAGGGGGCCCAAGCACCGGGGGGCGGACAGGCCGCCCCCCACAUUAUUGUGGAUGAUGAGGAUAGCGCCCCUCGUGAGGGUUCAGCCCCGGUGGGUCCUCAAGAAGGGGAGAGGGCGUCGGAGGUCGGAUCCGAGGCGCUACCUCAACCGGUAGUGCCGGAGGCUCCGGCCGAGCCCGCCCCAGCGACCGGGGCGGGAACUGAUGCCUCGGCGGAGGCGUCGCAGGCAGAGACCGCCGCGGUAUCUCCUGCACCGUCGGCAGGCGAGGCCGGGGUCGAACCGGCGGCCCCUGGUGCCGCGGGAGGCCCCUUAGGAGCUCCGAGCUCCCAGAAGAAGUCUGCUCCCCGAGCGAGGUAUGCAUGAGGUUUCUGACUCCUCAGCUGAUUUUUUAUUUUUCUCUUUCUUCUAACUUGAUGUUGUUCCCCCAGCCGUAAGCAGAAGGCGCCCUCAGUGGCGCUGGCCCCCCUGAAGGCCGUAAAGAGGGGGGCUCAGUCGACUCCCGGGUCGGCUAGGCCCGUGUCUCCGCCGCCUCCAGGCUACGAGGAGGCAGGACGCCACCCGGGGCAAGACACGGGGGCGCCGAAACCCCAGAGACCGGAGGACGCUGCCCUCGGAGGCGCGGCCCGUCCUGCGUGCGCUGAGGAGGGGCAAGCCAUCGUGGUGUCCAGCGCGGCGCCCGAGGCCCCCGCUGCGGGGAGGGCGGAGGAAACCGGAUGGGGCAAGAUCCCCGUAAUCUGGCCCAACCUCGGCGAUGCUGAGGGGGGAGCCAGAUUUGUCCUGGACGACCCGUCAGAGAGUUACCUCUGGCAGGGUCUGGAUGCGUGUGGGCGCGCCGGUGUCGAGGCCCUCAACCGAGCUACCCAGCUCGUGGGUCGCGACAUGUUUAAUUUGGCUCAGGUGAGAUUUUUCUCCGCGUUAUAAAGUAGUUUUGUGCUUACCUUUGUGGUACUAACCCCCUGUGUGACCUCUGAUCUUGCAGGCGCUCAAGGCCACCUCCCAGGAGAAAUCGGUAUUUCUCCGUCGCGAGAAGGAUGCUUGGGCGUCCUUUGAGAAGGAGAGGGCUGCCAGGGAGGCGGCCGAGGGGGAGCUCGCGAAGGAGUGCGAGAUUUCUGCCGAUCUUCAGCAGAAGUGCUCAGCACUGGCCACCGAGGCUCGGGAGGCCCGAGACAAGGUCGCCCCCCUGGAGGAGAGGAUCGGGGCCCUCACGCAAGAGUCCGAGGCGCAGAAGGCGGCGGCUGAGGGGUACAAGAGUGAGGUCGCUCGGCUUGAAGCUUUGCUCGCCGAAAAAGACCUCGCCUUGAACCAAGCUCAGACCGACCUGGCCGGGGCUCUGAGCUAGGUGUCCCGCUAGCAUCAGAGCUCGGCCGAGUACGAGAAGCGUGCCAAGGGUAGGACUUGCGCCCUUUUCCUUAGACUCCUUUGUACUUUUGAGUUAGCUUUUCCGGACUUCUCAUUUCUUGUUCUGUUUUUUUAUCAGAAUUGGAGGUGAAGGUGGUCGAGGCGACCUCUACUGCCGAGGCCCUGGAAAAGUCCCUCGACGCUGAGGUUUCGGACCGCUCGGCUCUUGAAGCCGUGGUCACCUCGGCGUGUGAGGGGCUCGGGGUAUCGGUGUCGGGGUCGUCGCUGCGCAGUCGGGUCGAGGCCCUUUACUCCCGGGCUGGGGAGAGGAUGAGGGAGGCGCUCCACACCGGGGUGAAAAAGGCCCUGGCGGUGGUGAGCUCUCACUAUGCCGGCAUUGAUUUGCCGACGGUUUGUGAGGGCUACGUCCUCCCUGACGACGAAACAGAAGCCCAGGAGGAGGUGCAGAGGCUCGAUGAUGCCGCGGCUGUCCCUGGAGACGCCUUGGCCGCCUUUUUUGACGAUGAGGCGGAGCUUCCCCCCCUCGGGGCUCAAGGACCUGAGUAGAUAGGGCAAUAGGAUUCUUAGUUUUUCUUUUCUUUUUGUGGGUGUUGAGGCCGGUGGGCCUUGUAGCAUAUAUAUAUAAUGUUAAUGUUGAAUGUAAAUAUAACUGCUCUUUUUGGGCCUUUUCCCUAAGUAUCUUAUUUCCUUUCUCUUUAUACCGAUCCGACCUCGGCAACGCGGGGUCGGGUGAGCUACUUAGAGUUAUCGCGCAAGUCGGAGUCCCCAAGCCUAAGUGUUUUUUCUUUUUCCUUAGUAACUCCUGGAAGCCCGAAUUCGUUCCCGAAUCUAAGGUGAGUUGAGGUGGUCUUUGCUCGUGAGCGCGGAUCCUUCCUCGGGCUCAUGCCUUAAGAUUUAGGGGACGGAUUCUUGGUUUCUUGAGUCUUUUUAGGAAGGAGGGGGAAGACCUUGGGUCGGGGUUCUUUUAACUUGUGCGAAAAAACAAAAAGAUUCGGAGUCGACAUAGGGGGUUCCCCCCGUGUAGCCCCCGAGGGAGGUUCGGACUCAGCUCGGCAGGUCCGAGGCUCUCUGAUAACUUAAACUUUGAUUUAUUCCUUGGAGGCAAUGGAUGAACAAAGAAAUUUUUACAAAGCUCUAAGGGAAAAAGCGACGUAGCUGUUCUAUGUUCCAUGCAUUUUUGAAGACCUCCCCUGCUUCAUUGGCGAGUUUGUAGGUGCCUGGUCGGAGAACUUCGGCGAUGACGUAGGGUCCUUCCCAGGGGGGUGUGAACUUGUGACGACCCUUGUUGCUCUGUCUGAGCCUUAGCACCAAGUCGCCGACUUGAAAUGCUCGGCCUCGGAUCCACCGCGCAUGGUAUCGACGGAGGGCCUGCUGGUACUUGGCGGAGUGCAGGAGGGCUACGUCCCUGGCUUCGUCGAGCCGGUCCAGCGCAUCUUCUUGGAACGUCUUGCCGCUGUUUUCGUCGUAGGCUUGUACCCUUGGAGACCCGUACUCCAGGUCAGUGGUGAGGAUGGCUUCCGACCCAUAGACCAUGAAGAACGGGGUGAAGCCUGUGGCUUGGCUUCGGGAGGUUCUGAGACUCCAGACGACGGCCGGUAGCUGUUUGAGCCACCUUUUCCCAAACUUGUUCAGGCGGUUGAAGAUCCUGGGCUUCAAGCCCUGGAGGAUCAUGCCAUUGGCGCACUCGACCUGACCGUUGGUCUUGGGGUGAGCGACUGCCGCCCAGUCCACACGUAUGUGGUGUCUGUCACAGAACUGUAGGAACUUUCGUCCGGUGAAUUGUGUGCCGUUGUCGGUGAUUAUGGAGUUCGGCACUCCGAAUCGAUGGACAAUAUCCGUGAAGAACAAUACCGCCUGUUCGGCCUUGAUCCUUGUGAUGGGUCGGACCUCGAUCCACUUGGAGAACUUGUCGAUUGCGACAAGCACGUGGGUGAAGCCCCCGGGCGCUUUCUGCAGAGGCCCGACCAGGUCGAGGCCCCAGACGGCGAAAGGCCAGGUGAUGGGGAUCGUCUCCAAGGCCUGGGCGGGUUUAUGUAUCUGCCGAGCGUAAAACUGGCAUCCCUCACAGGUCCUUACGAUUUCUGUGGCGUCGGCUACAGCGGUUGGCCAGUAGAAACCCUGUCGAAAGGCAUUUCCUACCAACGUUCGAGGUGCAGCGUGAUGGCCACAAGCCCCCAAGUGUAUGUCCUGUAGGAGCUUGACUCCUUCCUGAUGUGGGAUGCAACGCAUGAGGAUGCCCGAGGGGCUGCGUUUGUACAUUUCCCCGUCGAGGAGGACGAAGGUCUUGGCACGACGAGCCACGCGUCUCGCUUCAGCCUGGUCCAGGGGCAGAGUGCCUUCGACCAGGCGUUGAAGCAAAGGGUAGCGCCAGUCAGGCGAAUCGUCAGUCGCAGGUGGCUCUGGCUCGAUGUCCAUGGCCUCCUGUUCUUGGGGGACGGCGUCUUUGGGGUCGGCACUCUGUUUGUUUUGGAGUUCGUCUGACCCCCCGUCGUCCUUGUAGUCGACGGAAGGUUUGUAGAGAUCACUGACGAAAACAUCCGGGGGGACCGUGGCCCGCUCGGAUGCCAUCUUGGCGAGCACGUCGGCGGCCUCAUUAUACUUCCUUAACACAUGGUUAAGUUCGAGGCCGUCGAACUUUUCUUCCAGGCAUCGAAUCGCUUUGCAGUAUGCGUCCAUCUUCGGGUUAUGGCAGGUAGACUCUUUCAUGACUUGAUCGAUGAUGAGUCUAGAAUCGCCUCGGACGUCGAGCCGCUUGAUCCCAAGUUCGAUCGCGACGUGAAGACCGUUAAGGAGGGCCUCAUAUUCAGCUGCAUUGUUUGAAGCAAGGAAGUGAAGCCGGAUUGCGUAUCGCAUCCUUACCCCGAGGGGUGAGAUGAAGACAAGGCCUGCGCCGGCCCCAGUUUUCAUCAGAGACCCGUCGAAGUACAUGGUCCAGCAUUCGUGCUGGAUUUGUGGGGGUGGGAGCUGAGUCCCGGUCCAUUCUGCCACAAAGUCUACCAGGACCUGGGACUUUAUGGCCUUGCGAGGCUCAUAGGCGAUCCUCUUGCUUAGAGGGCCCUGCGUCCCCUGGGCGCUAUGCGGCAUGCCUCCGACUUCUAAGUUGAAGCACUCUCGUGACGGGUCGUAGCUUUCGUCGUCGGAGUCGGAGUAGCCGAGACAAUAGUUGCUGGCCUCCAAGAAACGCAUGAAGGUCUCCGGGUCGCCACACCCGGAGAAAUCAGCGCCAGCCCACUCGUCGUUGCCCGAGGUGAGGUCCUCUGGGUAGGAUGAGACGGGCGGUGUGGAGACGAGGUCCAGUGUAGACCUCAAGUGGUGCCCGGGAAGUUCCGCGUACGCACUUAACGAAGUGCUUACGGAAGAGGCGUAGGUAGCGGCGGCAUUCCUGAGCCCAAAAGGUAACUCGGGAGGUGCCGCUGCUGCUACUUCAUCCGUAGGUGGAGGAGGACGGGACGUUGAGGCCCCUUUGUCCCCCUUGCGGGGGACGGGCGCGGGCCGUGCCUUCCCCUUCGAACGGGGUGGGACGGGUGGCCGCGAUGACCCUCUGUUGGUCCUGGGUGCGGAGCUUGAUGUCCCGCGAGCCCUUCCUCUGGCGCCUGUCGGGUCGGAGGAGCGGGCGACCUAAUGAGGAAUAUGCGGGGGGAGGACCGGACGGACCAUGGCCUCCGUGGUGGGGUCGGAGAUCCUAGAUCUCUGACGCCCCCUCCGUGAGCCCCCCGCAUGGUGUCCCGACCGUCUCCCACGUACUGACUGUGGCGGGAUCGGCUCGGGGCUAAGUUCGACGUCGUCACGUGGCGGGAGGAGGAUCAUGUCGUAGCCGGAACCGAGGGACAUGAACUUCAAACUCCCAAAUAUCAUGAUGGUGCCGCGGCGGAGCGGGCGAAAACCGUCUGCCAUCCAAAUCUUCCCAGUAGGGACUGGCAAACGUCACGCAGAAGGCCCCUACCUGGCGCGCCAACUGUCGGCGUCUAGACUCGCGAUCUAGGCACUGACGAGUAUAAGUCUGCGUGACUACCCAAAUUCGGAUGGUGAUGCAAGUGGGACACAGAGAGUUUAUACUGGUUCGGGCCAAGAAUGCCCUACGUCCAGUGUGGCUGUAGAUUCUGUAUAACCUUGCACCCAAAGGCGCUUGUAGUAGGGGGUACAAGCUGGUUGCGAGAGAGGGCUAAGUCCCAGGUCUCGGCUUGGUGGUGGAAAGAGUGCGGGUAGCUGCUGUGGAAGAGUGUGACGGUAGUGUAUGCGUGCGUGUGUUCUGGACCUGUGUCCCUUCCAGUUGUGAACCCUGGCUCCCCUUUUAUAGUCUUAAGGGGAAGACAGGUUUUUACAAGAGUAGAUUUCUUCUGUUGAAUGGUGAAAACACAGUCCCGACCCUGCUGAGGCUGGUCCAUCUCGUCCUUGUGGGAUGGUUGACGGCAUGGCUACUCCUGUAGAGGGUUACCGAACCCUGUAGGGGUCGCGGGGGUCGGAUCGCCGGUACUGCUGCAUAUCCUGUCAACAGUGGGAAAUGACCACAAACAGUGGUGCUGAUUUACCUCACCCAUUCCCUUUCUACUGUGCGGUAGUGUGCUACAGUGAACAGGGGUAAGGGUGUAUAGUGACAGAGGUAAGGCCACAGUGACUGGGGUGGUUGAAACAGUCAUCGCCUUGCCCUGCCGCGUUAUGGGGGCCGUCGCGUCCGUCAUGUCGGGGGAAGUCUUGUUGCCCAGGUGGAGUGGGGUCCGGCGCCCGAGCCUUGGACGGGAUUGGGCGAAACGGAGCUUGCGUCCGAGACCCUAAGAGGUCGGGCGAGUCGGAACUGGCAUCCGAGACCCUGAGAGGUCGGGCGAGUCGGAACUGGCGUCCGAGGCCCUGAGGGGUCGGGCGAGUCGGAACUUGCGUCCGAGGCCCUGAGGGGUCGGGCGAGUCGGAACUUGCGUCCGAGGCCCUGAGGGGUCGGGCGAGUCGAAACUUGCGUCCGAGGCCCUGAGGGUUCGGGCGAGUCGGAACUUGCGGCCGAGGCCCUGAGAGGUCGGGCGAGUCGGAACUUGCGUCCGAGGCCCUGAUGAUUGUAAUUAGUAUGUUUCUUCGCGUUUUUUGUUGCUCAGAUUUGGGUACCCCUUAUUAUGAUACCCAACAGGUACAAAAAGACAGCGUCGGCGUUAUAUUCUUUUCUACUAUAUAGAAUUGCUUCUGAUUAACGGGCGUCACUAUCAUGUCACAACACCACAACACUAACAUAUAGGGUCACAUGUGUGUUGUUAUAAAUAUACAAACACUGUUAACAUUUUAUUUUUUUACGAUAAACUAUUGAUCAGUAUGAAUAUUCUCAUGGAUAAAUUACUUUAUUUUUCACAAUAUAUGUUAUUAAUUUCUUUAUGGGUGUUUUUGUAUAUGUUAAACUACUCUUUAUUUUGUUCAGGUUCGGUGUACAUUUCCCCAAUUCCAUUCUCAUGGUCGUUCAGUAGUUUUCGAUCCAGCAAACGAUCCGAGAGCUAAUACACGCCGGUCGCCCAGCCUCCUCCCUCCCACUUCCUUUUCCCUCUCCUCUUGACGUCAUCAUGAAAAAAGUAAAAUAUUUAUUUCAAAGCACUAUAACUUUUCAAUGAUGUAUUUAUUUUUAAUUCCGUUUACACCUGUGUGUUCAACGUGACGAGGCGAACAAAACUAGACCCCACUUCUAUAUAUUUUGAAGAUUUUUAUUUUUCUAGUAGCAGUUUAUGUAUAUGAACUUAUAACAUAUAAGUUAUAUUGAUAACUUAUUAUGCUGCUAACCUAUUCUGCUAAGUUGUAUUGUAUAACUUCUGUUUGUGUAUGGUACCUAACUUAGAUCAUUAACUUAUUCUAUAGAGUUAUGUAUGUAACUUGUGUUUUCAUGUGUAUGCUACCUAAUUUAUUUGAUUAAUUUACUGUAUAGAGUUAUGUGUGUAACUUAUGUUUUCAUGUGUUUGCUAUUUAACUUAUUUGAUUAACUUACUAUUCAUAGUUAUAUUUGUGUUUUUAUGUGUAUGUUAGAUAGCCAUAGUAUGUUUUCAAUUAACUUAUGUUUUUUCUUGUUCUCAACUUUGUUUUUUACUUGUUAUUUUAAAUAUUAAAAUAUUUUGCAGAUAUUCCUAGUGAAUACAAAUAUACUUGAUGUCAUAAUUAUAGAAAUGCUGAGAAUAUCAUACUUGCAGAAGUUAUGAAAGUUAUUAUAUAUAUAUGUUUUUUUGUAAGUUUUCAUCAUAUUAUGGAAUUUCUGUUGUAGUAUAGAUUGUAAAAGUUACUUUUAUUUCCUCUCCCACCCCUUUUAAACCUUUGUCCCGUAUUCCCGAAUGAUUUGUUUUUGAAAAGAAAAAAAUGUUGAUGAAACAUAAGGAGAAUAUAAUUCUCAUAACAACUCUCAAAGUUUCAAUUAUGUAUAUGUUUUAGUUUGCAAAAAAAGAAAAAGUAAUGUUGUAUAACUUUGUCUGUUUAAUUUAUUCCUUAAAGUUAUGUUGGGUACCUCAGUGUAAGUUAUGUGUGCACUUUUCAAAAAAAUAUUGACGUGCGUGAGAGCGCAAAAGAAAAAAUUGGUUGCGCGCCGGACGUGCGAAAAGAAAAUAAGGCCCACGUGAAUGUCCGUUUGAAAAGAAAAAGAGAAUGGAACGUCAUAGUACUAUCCUAAAAUGGUAUUAGGCGGGAUUGAUUGUUUCCUUAAAAAGAAAAUAUGAUUAGUCGGAAGAUCGUUCGUUGAAAUCAGUUUAACUGAACGUUCGCUAUAAAUAUGAUUGGUCGGACUAUAUAGUGGUGUCGGUACAUUUCUCCUUGUCCUCCUGAUCGCCUCCGUCCAACUCCAGAGCGAGAGGCUACAUCGUGCGCUCCUAGGUGUCGGAAACCUGUACGUUGCCAACGAUCGACGUGGCUUGCUGGGCAAGUAUUUGCAUGGGCUGAGUUGUUCCCGGGAUGCAUGGGCGUAUCGUAUCCGAUUCCGAGAUCCCAAUGCAACCGCGCCAAUUCAAUCCACCCCAUGGCCACGGCCGCCCAUAUAUUUGUGGGGGCAUCGCGAUCAUUAGCUUAGCUUAAUUAGGGGACGCCACAACAUAUUGGACUUUGCCCCGCUUCCAGCGAACCCGGCGAGAAGCGAUCAGCAGGCUAGGGCUUGGCAGUUUACAGCGGUGCCAUGGACGGCCACGGCAAUCAUGUGGUGCCAGCAGAGUGCUUUUGGAUGACGUACUUGGACGGCGGCGUCCCGGUGCCCAUCCCGGUCGACAGCGCCGGCCUCACGCCGCGGGCCGGCGGCUUCACCUUCCCCGCGCACGACGGGCACCGGGCGGCGAUCAAGGCCGCGAGGCAGAUGGACCACUACCGGCGGGUGCGGCGCAACGCGAGGCGGAUGCCGGAGGUGGCGGCGCGCCUCGGCGGCGAGGACCUGCUCGUCCACCUGAUGUACGGCGACAUCGACGAGUGCUGCUGCCUGUUUGAGGCGCCCCCCACGACGGCGCCAGCAGCAGCAGGCCUGCACGCGACCUACUAUGUAGUACCAAACUGCUGACUGCAGAAGAUGCUGUUCUCGGUCAGCAGCGUUAGAGAUAUUGCUGCUGCUGUCAGUUUGAUCAUAUCGUCGGUCUUCUGCGAGCUCCGAUUUGUUAGUACAUACUCAAUCCAUUCCAAAUUAUAAGUCAUUUGACUUUUUUAAUAUCAAGUUUGAUCACUCGUCUUAUUCAAAGUUUUGUACAAAAUAUUACUUUUUUGUUGUGUAUUGGUUUAUUAAUAAAAGUUUUUCAAGAAUGACUUAAAUUUGACUAUAUUUGCACAAAUUUUUUGAAUAAGACGAGUGGUCAAACUUGGAGUAAAAAAAGUCAAACGACUUACAAUUUAGGAUGAAGGGAGUAUUUCUUAAUUUUUGCCUUUUAGUUAUGCUUUUGGUGGUUGAUCUGGUGAGCCUCAUGAUGUCCCCUGAUGGAUGUGGUUGUUUCCAUAGUAUAGACACAGGCUGAUGGCUAGGUUCUGGUCUUUGUAUAUAUAUAUAUAUAUAUAUAUAUAUAUAUAUAUAUAUAUAUAUAUAUAUAUAUAUAUAUAUAUAUAUUAAAAAUAGGAAGAACUAGAUAGCAGGAACUUAAGUUGUGGGCCGGAGCUAAAACGUACGUGGACCCGGAACUGGUUUCUUAAAGAACUAGGUGAAUUCCCCGUGCGUUGCUGCGGGAUUUUCUUAAAAAUAAAUCAUUAUAUACAUAGCACUAGUAUGCGGUAUUUAGUCUAUUAUGUAUGUACAUAUAUAAAUUUGACUUGCAUGUAUUUUCUUGUAUUAGAUCUAGUAAAAAAUUGCUAAACUAAUAAAACAAAAACUAAUAUUUGGUUAUAUUAUAGAGGAAUUAAUUGGUGAUGAAACAAAUAAUGUAUGUACAUGACUUGUAUGUGAAUAUAUUAAAGAUUUAAGUAUUUCACAUGAUAUAGAUGACAUGGUUAUUUUUUAUAAUUAAUAUGCAAUGACAUGGACUUAGUGGAGAAUAAUGUGGACAUAUUGCAUGAAGAGAUAAAAUAUUUAGUGCAUGACUUAGUGGGGAAUGAUGUGGACACUUUGCAUGAAGAGAAAAUUCAUCUAGUGGGGUUUAGCUUUAUAAGAGUUAUAGAUUUGGAGGGUAUAACAGUACUUACGUCGAGCUGCUUCUCAGAAUAAAAAAAAAGAAUCUACUUCUCGUGUGACAGGAGAUGCUUCUCCUCUCUUCUCUCUCUUAACGUCUCCUGUAGCUCCUGGCGGCAUGGGUGCUCACCGGCGUGCGGCCUCCGGUGGGCAAGCCCGCACCUCCCUCCCUCCUAGCGCACCGGGGCUCACUGACGCGUGAGCUCUGGUCCAACUCCAGCGGCAUUGCUCCAGGCCUCCAACUUGGGUGGCGGCGCGUGUGCAUUCGAGGUGAGUGGUGGUGGCUGCUGCUCUGGCUCAGGUCGUCAGCUAAUUCCAACCUCAAGGUCUAGGCGAGCAUUCUGAUAUCGUAUUCGCUUAGACACACUGGUGUAGUGGUGUCCCCAUCCCCGCUUGUCUUAUGCUUCGAUGUAAUUUUUUCUUCCAUGCUAGAUUUCAUUCAAGAGUGAACACACUUCUGUUUAAGAAAUUGAUGAAAUUGUAUGUGUCGCAUACGUGCAGUUCAUUAAUCUAUACCUAUACCUAUCUAUAAAGAGGGAAAAUUUCAGUGUGCCCACCAAAAUCUUCUGCCCAAUGUGUCCGUGUCGAGGUCACUCUCCCAUCAUGUCCGGAAUCCUACCUGCGCUGGCCCCACGUGAACCGGCACCUCAGGUUGAUGCAGCCACGGCGGGCACUCGGGGUCACGGGAUAGCACAAAGAGGCCGCGCAUGGGUCCCUCGUCAUCGGAGUCAGGGGGCACAGUGGGGGAGGAGCGCUUGCCGCGUCGGGUGGAGAGGGCGCAAAGGCAAGGGUUGUCGUGGAGGCGGAGGCGAGCACCGAGGCGAGAGAUGGCGCCGCCGCCAGUCCACGGAGUCCUCAUCGUCAUCGAGCUCUGGCCAGUCCCCGUCGCCUCCUGGUAUGAUCAUAUACUUCAUGUAUAUAUACUCCAUCGGGUCAUAUACGUCAUAAAUCUAGAGAUAUAUAUAAGUCCAGACGGUAGUUAGAGAAAGACGGACAAAAAAUAUAGAUGGACAAAAGAAGAGCCUAAAAUUUUGCCUCUUUAUUAUUAGGUAUAUAUAUAUAUAUACAAAAUUUUGUAAUAAUACAGAUAUAGAUAUAGAUUUGAUAGCUUUUUUUUCUCCCGUUGCAACGCACGGGCAUUUUUGCUAGUGCAUAUUAAUGCAUAGAGAACUGCAACUACUGAUUUAGGAUACAAAAUGGUUCCACAAAUGCCAUUUUUCUCUGAAUAUGCUGCUUAUUGGUUCAUAAGUCAUAACUAGAUGCAAGUUCAGGGAAAUUCAAUGAUUACAGAACAUAAUAGUUAUGUAGAUGUGCCUUGGCAUUGUAAACUUGACUCAGCAAGCAGAAAAGGUUUGCAAAUCUGAUAGCUGCUUUCUUAUACAAGGUUAGAUGAGUGAGCUCAACUGCUCAAGGGGCUGGUCCAAGAAGGGAAAGUGAAAUACAUUGGCAUGUGUGAAGCAAGCAUGGAUACUACAUCGUGAACUCUGAAAUUUGUCUAUUGAUUUACCAAGAGAGAACAAAUAAUCUUGAUUAAAUUAUCAUAUCAUUUCAAGGUUACCAGAACGUGAAUGAGCUCACCUGAUGGUUGAUUUGUUUUGCAGACACGGACGUCCGCGUACACAACUGCUGCUGGCCCAAGGAGAUCACGCACCACAGCCGAGGAGGUCCUGCAGCACCAGCUGUUCUCAACUGAACCAGCAGAGGUCGUCCGCGUACGGCGUACUGUGCUAGGGAUAUGCGUCGUCGUGAUGAGGGCGGUGUCGACUCGAUUGGCGGCGGGCCGGUGACCUAGGAGGCAGCAAACCAGUGUUUUAGGAGACGGCGUUCGCAGGCACAGAGCAAUCUUCGCCGGGUUACGAAGUUGAGAAUCUGUAGAAUAUGAAAAGUGCUAAACUGCCCUUAAUUACGAUUCUUAAUUAGAACCUGCUGCAAAAAAAUUUAACAGGAGGAACCGGUGGUUCCUCUCAAGCACCAUAACAAAGCUCUAUAUAUUAUGGUGCUUGAGAGGAACCAUUUCAAUGACAUGAGCACAGAAUUAAUCAACACAACCAGGUGUGACAGAAACUAACUUGAUGACUGCUACUUGAAUUAUUUUCUUAUUUAUUAGCUGAAACCACCACAUGGAAAUCAAUCAGAGCACACAGAAGUGCAGGUGGCAAGGUCACCCAAUUUGCAGUUUUAUAUUUACUGGGAGCAGAGUUCCUUUCAUAUACUCCUCCCUGUAAUAUUAUAACAAUAGUAAUAUUUAGGAUUUCUUUUUUCUUGAAUUAGCAUGAUCGUACUGCUUCUUCAAAAUCAAAACUAUGAAAAAAACAGCCAUCAGAGGGACUAUAUAUUUCUAUUUUCUUAUUUUCUUGAAUCUAUGUUCUCCCUGCUUCUUCAAAAUCUCUAUAAUAAUCCUCUUAUAGUAGGAAGGUAAAAACUGUGAUCCUCUUCAAAAUCAAAACUAUGAUCCUCUUCUUCAAAGCACACGGAAAUGCAGGUUGCACACAGAACUGCUUCUUCAAAAAAACCAUGAUUGUACUGCUUCUUCAAUUAUUAAAGUAUACAAAAUUAUAAGAGGUUGACAAAUCAGCACAUGGAAAUCAAUCAAAGCACACAGAACUGCAGGUCACAAAGUCACUCAACUUGCAAUUUUAUAUAACUGAGAGCUGAGUUCAUUUCAUAUAUGCUAUACUGGACAUUGCUAUAGGAGACAUUUUUUGUAGAUCCAAUAAACAAUGAGCAAGUAAUUCCAGAACAAGAACAAGACAUAUAACUGAGUAUCUCAAAUCACAUCCAUCCAACCACAACUCUUUGUGAAAUAAUGGUGACAAGAGAGAUCGUGCAAUGUCUUUGUGGAAUACCUGGACUGGAGGAAGGGGAUGUGGAGACGGAGAAGAAUAGUGUUUGAUGGCCUACACCAGGUGGAGUAACAUACAGAUGUAGCUCGACCUGAGACAAAUCAUCAUAUUGUGGUACAUAUUCCUUUGCUGAAAUAAAUUGUAAAGAGAAAUUUCAGAACUGAAGAAUACUUAAUAAUCCUUUGUUGGAUGAUGAGUUUCAGAACACCACGUCCUCUUUUACAUGAAGUACAAAUGGAUACGACAAUGUCAAUAAUAAAGGACACCAAUGUAAGAAACUUGUACAAAUGUAAGAAACUUUUGGUUUAUGAUGCCAUGGAAAUAGAAACAAUAAUUUGCAUUGAUGCACUUGCAUUUUAGAUUAUUGUCAGAACAAUUAAAGUAUGCAAAGGGUAACUGAAUGUUCUUCAUCUAAAUUUGAAUUGUUAACACUUGUAAAAAAUGAUCAUCUAAAUUUGAAUUGUUGUGCUGUGUCUCUCUCUGCUUUUGUUGGAAGGAAGCAGAAUCCAAAUCAGAUUUCCAAGAGCCAAUCAGUGACUUGGCCAAGAUGCUGGCAACCACCAAUCAAUCGCAAUCACAAUUAGCGCACAGAGAAGACAUGCCUUCCUUGAGCUUCAACUACUAACUCAAUUGGACCACUCCAGAUUCAGAGAGCCGAUGGUUUCUACGGCUUCAUCAUGCUGAUUUUUUUGAGAUAAAAACAGUUGAAAAAUAACGUUGACUGACUGAUAAACUCAAUCGAAUAAGUCGGCACCCCAAGGUUUUCCAUCCCAUCCGAUGCAAAAAGGAAAACUGGACAAAAAAAGAUGAGCCAUCCAAUGAAAUGGCAUAGCAAUGCUUGUAAUGAAAACAUUCGAUCAAUGAUUCAAUGUUCACACAGUUACAGGCGAUUAUUGCCACCCAAGAUCUCUAAAACAUAUUUACUCAUACAAGGAAAAGAGCGAUAACCGAUCGAAGAACCAGAGCCUUACAAGAAUGCAGCACGGAUGGGGUAAAAAAAAUUGAUUGAUGUACUAAGUGAUUCACAGAUAAAGCAAUCGCUCGUAACCAAAAUAUUCAGUUAGUGAUUCAAAUCAAUAAGCACACAAUUUCAAUCAAACUGAAGCAGACCAAUCACUCACCCUGGCGGCGGUGCCUACAUCAGGCAGCCUGGCAGCGAGGUCCUCAAUGACAUAGGCAGUGGCGUCGAGGCCGUCGUCCUUGGACACGGGUAACCCCACGACAAGCAGGUCGUUCGAAGGAGCACUCCGGAGUAAGCGGACGUGGAUGCCGAUGGUGAAGCUCGAGAGCCGAUCCUGUCCGAGCGCUAACAUGCCAGGGACGGGUGCCGCCGCAGCUCGCCCGUGCCGAAGGAGAGGACGCGUCCCCUGAUGAACUUGCAGUGCAGAUCUGAGUAAGGACGAGGGCAAGGGCGCAGGGGCAGGGGCUAGCUGCGCGGGGCGCGCUCAACGAAGAGGGCGACGGCGUGGGCAGCGAUGGCGCCCCGGAGCCUCGCGCGGGGAGCUGCGGAGCUGGGCAACGCAGACGGGAAGGGUGUAGGAGCCACGAUUUCCUAGAGGAUUGGAGCUUAGAGGGGGGUGACCGAGGGGAGCGUAGGCGCUAACCGCAGGAGAAGAGCGACCGAGUGGCGAUAACCGCAAGAGGGGGAGCGAUUAGUGCCCGGAGACGAUGACCUUCGGGUCUUUUUAGUUGUAGAGAUACAGUAGAAUUAAUAGCUAUUGUGUUUCAAGUACCUAGCUAGGGCAUGUUUGUGGUCGUUGUGUUGUGUGUAGCUAGUUUGUUACGAAUUAUGGCUCUGCUAAUCUUGGUAAGAUCUUCUUGAUAUGCAUGCAUGGGUUCUUAAAAAUAUGCGCCUUUCUCAAAAUACGCGCGCACACCGUAUUCAGACACCCCCAAAUACCCGAAUUCACCUCGCCUUUCUCGGUGCUCGAUCACAGACCUUUGACUAGGAUCUAAAGCAAACAAACCAUUAAUAAUCUAUAUACAUGAAGCAAAACGUACACAUGAGUAAACAUUAUAUUAUAUACUCUCUUUUUCAAAUUAUAAGAAAAUUUGGCUUUUCUAUAUAAGUAGAUUAUAAUAAAACUAUGUAUUAUAUAUCUAGAAAAGUAAAAAACAUCUUAAAUUUUGGAAUUGAGGAGUAUAAGAGCUAGUGUAGUUUGCUUGGACCCCAUUGUUCACGCACUGGUACAGGAAAGGGCUAUAGCCCGCGCCGUAAGGGCCUUUAGUCCUGGCUACGGAACCGAGGCUAAGGUUUCGGGACUAAAUGUCUCACCUUUAGUCCCGGUUCCGGGAGCCAGGACUAAAGGUCCACCUUUAGUCCCGGUUGGUAAAAGCAAUCGGGACUAAAAGGUGCGCCACGGUGUGCCACCUGACCUCCACUUUUAGUCUCGGUUGUUGUUACCAACCGUGUUGACUAAAGAGUUUUUUCUUUGUUUCCUUUUCUUUCCUUUUGGUUUUCUAUUUAGGGUUUACAAUUAUAUUAUUAUUAUGUUAUUAUUAUUUUCGAAUGCAUAUUGUUUGCUGCUAGUUUAUGGAAACGCGCACCUAUAAUUUUUAUAAUUUAAAGCAUUACAUAUAAAUAUACUAUAAAACACUAUAUAUAUAUUAUAUAUAUAUAUAUAGAUCCAUAAUAUAAUAUUUACACAUGCAUCACGGACAAAGUAUUUACAACAAAAUUUAUCUCUGUCACUCAAGCAUCGUACAAAUGAUCAUUGUGAUUUGGUUUCAUUGGCUCCUCAGGGUUGAAGUAGCACUCGUCGCCGGGAUUCAGAACUUGGUCGUUAAGAAAUCCUGCGAUUGUCUCUUGAAUUCCUUUUAGGCGGACCGCAUCCAACACCUGCUCCUUCAACCACAUCUCCUUUAAUAGACAUUAAAGAAAAAAGUUAGAGGUAUAAAUAGGAUUUAUUAAAUAGCAACAAAUAAAUGAAAUAAACUUAUUAUAUAUACAUGUUACAUCCUUUUAGGUGCUCAAGAUUAGUUCUUUUGGCAUAGACCGUCAUAAACUCGCACACAUAGUAGCCACACAAAUUGUUGCCCGGUGUCUGCCGUAGAACCCAGUGAAGUAAGAUAGGCUUUAAAAGUGGCGCUUUCAAAUCUGGACGGUGUUUCUCCACGAACCCAGUCCAAACCCUAGCAAUAAAACGAUCAUUAUUAAUUAUCUAUUACCGAGUUAAAAGAGCAUAAUUUAAUAUUUAGAGAUCGGAGUUACCCUUGGAUAAUAUCUAUCAUUUUAUCUUCCUGUGCCGUAAAAAAAAAUUCAAGCUCAUCAAAUUUUAAAUCUGUCGGUAUCUACUGGUCUAGCACGUCGAUGUUCGAACCAUAUUCAUUUCCAUUUACUAGCGGGGGCACUGAUUGCUUUGAUUGAUCCCCGAGCUGUUCUACACCCUUGCGUGCUCUUUUCUCUUAUUUCUUCUCUUCUUCUAUGGAUUUCCUUAAAGUGCGAUCAUAGUCCGAUAAAGAUGAUGAUUCUUUCUGAGCUUCACGCCUCUUUUUCUAUUGAGCCUGAACCCUUUGUCGUAGAUCUUCUGGCCGUAGUAAGCGGUAUGGUUUCUCAGGGUUUCGCUUGGCUUCUCUUUUAGUCUUAAGUUUCUUGAAGAAACUAUCCACAUCUGACUUUACCGAAGCAUCUAGUUCUACAUCAGUCUUCUCAUAGGACAGCUUCUUAGGAAUGAUAGGUUGUUUCUUUUCAGAGGCUUUCUUUUUUGGCGGCGAGGCGGCCGACACAUUUGAUUGAGCGGCCGGCCUCUUCUUUCGCGCUGGAGCCACGUGUGGAGACGAUGGGGUGGCCGGUGGUGGUGUUGGAGCCCGAGGAGGCGGCGUUGGAGCCCGAGGUGGCGGUGUUGGAGCCCGAGGUUGCGGUGUUGGAGCCCUAGGUGGUGAAGUUGGAGCCCUAGGUGGCGGUGUUUGAGCCCAUGGUGGUGGCAUUGGAGACCGAGGCGAUGCAGCCAUGUCUUGCACUCCCUCGUCAUCACCCGCAACACUAUGACAUGUUGGUGACCACCUGUGAAACCAAAAAUGUAUAUGAGUAAACCGCUAACUAAGAGAAUGCAAAAUAAAGUUAGUGAACAAAUGUAUAGUCAAUUUUCAUCCGCACCUAGGAUUAGGUUCAUGACGAGGAGGUGGUGGUAGACUACUAGGUGAUGCCCUAGGAAUAAUGAUGUAGCGCUUGCGCCAACAAAUAGAAGUCUUCUCUGUUUCUCCUAGAGUCUUCUCUCCAUCACCUCCUUCUAUCUCAAACUGCACAUUACUGAAGCCUUUGACAACUCUAUCCACCGAGACACUAGCAUAUCUAGGUAGAACUAUCGCCCCAUGGAUUCUUGGUGUCUUCGUAGGGUCGAUAGGAGUUACAACACCGACAACAACCAUAACUGUGGCAGUCCUCUGUGGAAUCUGCAGCUCACAUGUUGUCAGAGUUUAGUGAUGUCAUCCACCGGAAAGUGCAGCCUCACGUCGUCUUGAAUAGUUGGCAUCUCCAUAGAAGCGCAACUGCUUUUCAACUAACCGGGGGGGCUAAUGUUGACUCCAGGCUCUGAUGCAGUUUGCCUUUGUAUAGAACUUACUGCCAUCUGCACUUGUCUUUUGAUCUCCUCGUUCAUUCUCUCUUCAAGCGCUUUCUCUCGCGCUAUCGCUUCACGAGCCGCUUUGCGUGACUCCAUCACCAUUGCCUCCAACCUACGCAACCGCUCUACUUCCUCUUCCUUCUUUCUUUGGCAGCUUAUAUAAGUUAGUCUAUCUUUAGGGAAGCCAUGCUCCCACGAUACCUCUCCAUAGCCUCUUGUUCGCCCACCGUGUUCAGCAGUCUCCAGGGCGUAUGUCAGCUCAUCCUUCUCUCUAUUUGGCUGCCAGGUGCCACUUUCAACUAAUCCUCUGGCAUAGGCCAUUCUUUGUCCCACUCUCUGGAGCUUUUCACCAUACACUACCUUUCCGGUCUCUAGGUCCACGGUUCCCCUGUGACCAAAGAACCAAUACUUGGCGCGCUCAGGCCAGUGCAGUGAUUCUGGUUCGAUUCCUCUCUCAAGAAUCUCCUGUUCUAGCUUUUGCCACCUAGAAAUAGCAGUCCUAUAGCCACCUGAACACAAGUGAUGGUGGUAUUGCUUUUGUUUAGCAUUUUCCUGAUUCUUGAUCACCCGUGCCUGACCCUCUUCUGAGUUCUUAAACUCUACGAACUCAUCCCAAAAAGACCUCAACUUGAUGUAGGCCUUGUUGGUGAAAUCCGGUGUCCAGCCAUGUGCAACAAAAGUCUUGUAUAAUGUCUUCUUCCAAGCCUGAAAUUGUUUGGCCAUCUUCUGCAUAGCCCAGAUUUUAACCUUCUCCUUCAAAGCUUCAUCUUGUGUAUCAAGCGUGAAAUGUUGAAGGAUAUCUAGCCAAAUCAAUUCCUUGUCACGAUCUGAGACAAAACUAAUAUUAGAGUUAUCUUUGCAUUGCCUCCAUUCACGAGUACUGACCGGGAGCCUGUCCCUUACAAGGUACCCAAAGUGCGCAACAAAUUUUUUAGAAUUUGCCCCAAGUACUCUUCCUGUACCCUCAUCGAAUUCUGACAGAAUGUACCGACCCUCCAACGGCUUCUUCGGGCCGCGCACUUUUCUACUCUUCUCAGAAGUUGUCGCCGAUCUAGAGGGCUACACAAACAAGUAUAAAUAUAUUAGUACAAAUGCCAUUUAUUUUAAUUUCAUAUAUAUACAUAUAUACUUAAUUGUAGAUAGACCUCAUCAGGAUUGUCUCCCAUAAGUUUUUCACAAUCAGCAAAGUACUGACUCCCAUCAUCUUCGCUUUGGUGAUCUAGAUUGGCGCCGCUGUUGAUUAGGUCCAUCAUUGCAUCAUCCAUGUUGUCAUUCGGAUUGGCCAUUUCUGCAAAAUUAAUCAAGUGUUAAAAGUUAUUUGUCAAUCUCGUACUUAAUAUGUCCAACGCAAAAGUAUUUGACGCGAUCAACAUAAAUUAUUUGGAUAGACUAAAGUUAGACAAUAUUUGGAUACAAUAUUUGUCCACACAUUUUGGAAUUUUUAUCAUAAAGAUAAAUAUAGCUUUUGAGUGGUUUUAAGAGGAUUUUUAUCGUAAAAUAUUUGUCUACACAUUAUCUAAUGAAUAUUUUAAUACAUAUAAAUAUUUAUCAAUAAGUAAAUUUAGAUGUGUAACUUUUUUAUAAAUAUCUAAAAAACGAAAGCACUUUCACUUUUUGUCCAAUAACUCUUGCAUAGAUAGAUAAAAACGUGUGGAUAAAUAAAAACGCCACUGCAGGAUGUAAUUAAUUUGUGAGACAAAUUUUUUGCAAGUAAACAAGGCCCUCCAUAUAUAUGUUUACAGCAUGUAAUUAAUUUGCGAGACAAAUUUGUGAGACAAAUUUUUUGCAAGCAAACAAGGCCCUUCGUAUAUAUGUUACAGCAUGUAAUUAAUUUGCGAGACAAAUUUGCGAGACAAAUAUGAUAAAUGAAACACUUCCAUAUAUAUGUAUACAUGUCUUAGCUAAAAAUUAGAUAAAAUUAUCUAAGAGUAUUAAAUAUAGAGAAAAAAUAACUAAUUACACAGUUCAUAGGGAAACCGCAAGACAAACCUUUUAAGCUUAAUUAGUUUAUGUUAGCCAUAAUUGCUAUAAUAACACAGAUAUGCUAAUAAUGAAUUAGUUAGAUAUAAUAAAUUUGUCUCACAGUUUUUAGAGAAAUUAUGUAAUUAAUUUUUUAAUUAAUAUCCAAACUGCUCUUUCGAUAUUCCAUAAAAUAUUCGAUACAACAAGUAAAGAUUUGUUUACUUUUGAAAAUAUUUGAUACAACUAAGGGCUAAAAUAAACUAAUUAAGCUUCUACACAGGAUAAAUAACAAUAACUAAUUGCAACUAAGGCCUUAGCAACACACUGUAAAAAUAAAUUACAAAUUUCAAGUUUUUACACAGGAUAAAUUAUAUAAUACAAAAGAUAAAUUAUAAAAUAGAAAUUAUACAUCUCAUCUCAAUAUAUAUACAAAGCGCUCAACAUAUAUAGUUUCUAAAAAAACAUCAGAAUGCAAGUGUCGGCCGAGAGAUCAUCACUGCAAACAUACGGUGGCGGCUGAGGGAGAAGAAGCUCGCGCGGUGUACGGAGAAGAAGCUCUCCUCGGCGCCUGAGAAGAAGCGCACGCGGCGUACAGUCGCCGGAGAAGAAGCGCUCGGCGCCGGUACACAGUACGGCGGUGGGGGUGCUCCUCGGCUCGGUGGCGGCGGCGGUGGGGGCGCUCCUCGGCUGCGGCGGCGCUCCUAGGCUCCAUAAGACGGCGCUCGGCCGGGGACGAGGGCGAGGCGACGGCGGGGAGGAGCGGCGCGCAGCGGAGGAACAAUUAGGGCAACGUCGAACUGGAUCGAGGAUGAAGACAACUGUGCGCUUAAAUAUCCGCCGUGACCUUUAGUCCCGGUGUUUAUCACCAAUCGGAACUAAAAAGUCCAACCUUUAGUCCCGGUUCCUAGCUGGAACCAGAACUAAAGGCAACCUUUAGUCCCAGUUCGUGGCUGGAACCGGAACUAAAGGUAUUUUUACCAUUUCUUAAUUAUUUAUGCUUACAAUAAUUAUAUUAAUUUUGUUAAUUGCAUAGUAAAUAGAAUAAUAGGUAUUAAUUUCUUAAAAAAUAAUAGUUCCAUUUCUUUUUGUCUAAUUGCUUAGAUAAUAAAUUUGGAAACAUAAAAUCUUUCCAUCUCUUAUAAUAGCAAACUUAAAUAUGAAAAGUAAUUAGUAUUUUAUUAAUAAAAAAAUGUAUUAUUUAAUUUUAAUAUCUUAAAGUAGGUGUUUUUGAUAGAAAAUUUGUUUGUGCAUUAUUUGAACGUAAAUUUUAUUCAUUUAUCAUCAUUUAUCUCCAAAAUCGUGAUAUACGUGAUAUUCACCAUUACAUCGGAUUAUUUUUUAAAGAUUUCUUUUCUAUUUCUUAUUUAUUUAUGCUUACAAUAAUUAGAUUAAUUUUGUUAAUUGCAUAGUAAAUAAAAGAAUUUGUAUUAAUUUGACAAAAAAUAAUAGUUCCAUUUCUUUUUGUCUAAUUGCUUACAUAAUAAAUUUGGGAACAUAAAAUUUUGAACAACUCAAUUUUGAACAAAUGUGCUUAAGAUUGGCUCAAAUUUAUCCAAAUGGAAAAAUGGACAAUAUAUCAAAUGUAUAUCUUGAUGAUCUCUAACAACUUUGUAUUCAAUUUUUUUUUAUUUCAAGUCAUCAAAUGGGUCAUUUGACCACGUUUGACCAAAGUCAAAGCAUUGGUUUUUAGAAACACACACUUUGACCAAACCCUAGAUGGUCCCAAAUGAAAAAGUUAUGAAUACAAAGUUUGUUAUACUCAUCAAGUUCUACAUUUGGUCUAAUGGUCAACUUUUCUUUUGGAAAAGUUUGAACCACUCAAUUUUGAAUUUUGAAAGAAUUCAUAGCCACGCAUUGGUUUUUGGAACCCUAGAUGGUCUCGAAUGGAAAAGUCAUGAAUACCAAUAUUGUUCCACUCAUCAAAAUCUACAUUCAAUAUAUAGACCAUUUUUGCAUUUGACAAAGUGUUGGGAAGGUGUAGUUGAAAAUCCACAAUUGACACAUAUAGUUUCAUAUAGUUUGUGUGAGAUUCAAGAUUUGGUGGGUAUUGUGGACUUAAACUUUCUCAAAUGGAAAAAUUGUCUAUAUAAAAAGUUUAGAUCUUGAUGAUAUUUAACAACUUGGUAUUCAAAAUAUUUUCAUUUUAAGUAAUUUAGUUUGUCAUUUGACCAAGUUUGACCAAAACCCAUCUUGGAUUUUGAACAAAUGUGCUUAGGAUUGGCUCAAAUUUAUCCAAAUGGAAAAAUGGACAAUAUAUCAAAUGUAGAUCUUGAUGAUCUCUAACAACUUUAUUUUCAAAUUUUUUUCAUUUCAAGUCAUCAAAUGAGUCAUUUGACCAAGUUUGACCAAAGUCAAAGCAUUGGUUUUUACAAACACACACUUUGACCGAACCCUAGAUGAUCUCAAAUGGAAAAGUCAUGAAUACAAAGUUUGUUACACUCACCAAGUUCUACAUUUGGUCUAAUGGUCAACUUUUCUUUUGGAAAAGUUUGAACCACUCAAUUUUGAAUUUUGAAAGAAUUCAUAGCCACGCAUCGGUUUUCGGAACCCUAGAUGGUCUCGAAUAGAAAAGUCAUGAAUACCAAUAUUGUUCCACUCAUCAAAAUCUACAUUUAAUAUAUAGACCAUUUUUGCAUUUGACAAAGUGUUGGGAAGGUGUAGUUGAAAAUCCACAAUUGACACAUAUAGUUUCAUAUAGUUUGUGUGAGAUUCAAGAUUUGGUGGGUAUUGUGGACUUAAACUUUCUCAAAUGAAAAAAAUUGUCUGUAUAAAAAGUUUAGAUCUUGAUGAUAUCUAACAACUUGGUAUUCAAAAUUUUUUAUUUUAAGUAAUUUAGUUUGUCAUUUGACCAAGUUUGACCAAAACCUGUCUUGGAUUCUGAACAAAUGUGCUUAGGAUUGGCUCAAAUUUAUUCAAAUGGAAAAAUGGACAAUAUAUCAAAUGUAGAUCUUGAUGAUCUCUAACAACUUUGUAUUCAAAUUUUUUUCAUUUCAAGUCAUCAAAUGGGUCAUUUGACCAAGUUUGAGCAAAGUCAAAGCAUUGGUUUUUAGAAACACACACUUUGACCGAACCCUAGAUGGUCCCAAAUAGAAAAGUUAUGAAUACAAAGUUUGUUACACUCAUCAAGUUCUACAUUUGGUCUAAUGGUCAACUUUUCUUUUGGAAAAGUUUGAACCACUCAAUUUUGAAUUUUGAAAGAAUUCAUAGCCACGCAUCGGUUUUUGGAACCCUAGAUGGUCUCGAAUGGAAAAGUCAUGAAUACCAAUAUUGUUCCACUCAUCAAAAUCUACAUUUAAUAUAUAGACCAUUUUUGCAUUUGACGAAGUGUUGGGAAGGUGUAGUUGAAAAUCCACAAUUGACACAUCUCUUAUAAUAGCAAACUUAAAUGUCUUAAAGUAGGUGUUUUUGACAGAAAAUUUGUCUCCCACAAGUCAUUUCAUUAUUUGAACUGAUAUAAAAUAAGAAAAACUACUAUAAACAUCUUAAGUUAUAAUUGUCACAUAUACAUACUCUAAUGCAAUCUAUUUAUUAGGCGGGCACAAUAGUGAUAUUUUUUUGACGUAUGUUCCUUGGUCAUGAUCUUGACGUAACCAUGGAGUGUCCUCAACAUUUAUCAGGAUGCUCCGAUCUUUGGUCACAUUGAAAGGCGUGAUUCGGUCAUCCCUUUCAUAAUCUUCUGAAAUAUCUGACUUGUCCUCAAUUCCCACAAUGUUUCUUUUCCCUGAGAGAACUAUAUGGUGUUUUGGCUCAUUUGAUGAUUUGUUGUCAUUUUUCCCUCUCUUCUGUUUUGUAGACAUGUCUUUCACAUAGAACACCUGAUUCACAUCAGCAACAAGUGUUGACGGUUCUUAAGUAUCAAUUUUAAUUAUCAAAUAAACAAGAGAAAGGACCAAUAUGCAAACAACACCUAGAAUUAGGGUUUGAUCUGACAGAAUUCCACGAGUUUUGUUGUUUACCUAUUUCUGCAGGGGGUUAUCAGGAAAUAAGGAAGAAAGGCCCACAUGUCGGGAUUACAUAGAGAUAUCAACACACCGCACGAUUUUCUACCAUCUAGAAGGCUCCAGAAGCCACGGGAAGAAAACAGAGGCCGAAAGGGGCCAGGCCCAGGGCGCCCGCCCCCUGCUGGAUGUCAAUCGGGACUCUCUUCGCACGGGAUGUUCCACCGACCUAUUGGAUCAAGAAAAAUAUAGUACCACCUUGCCUACUGACCCAAAAACGCAUAGAGGAGGAGGACUAUAUAAGGAGACCCCCCUGGCCCCUGGAGAAGACAUGAAGAAAUUAUCAUAGAGAUUGAGGGGUGCCCUCGAAGGAAACCUCUUCUCUAAUUAAUAUUUCUUUUUAGGCUUAGCAACCAAUGUAAAGUAGAAAUAGAUCUUCUAGUUUCUACUAGAUUGAGAGAGAUAGAGUGGAGGUGUAGAUUGGAGGAAGCCCGGCCUGUCGGUGUCUACUCCAAGCUUGUACCUGCGGGAUCAAGUUCUCCUAACCCGAAGCUUGCUCCUAGGAUUCUUCAGUAUUUCGACUUCUAAAUUCUAGUAAGUUCUUGUUUUAUUGUUCUUAUGGUUUAUGAGUUUACUUUAAUCUCUUCGCGUAGAGUUUAGAGUAAUCAUUACUGGCGUAAACGUGGUGUUUAGGCUGGGGUACUCAUAGAUAUUCCCUGACUAGCUGGACCGUGCUAGUAGUGAGGAACGUGACAAUUCCGAGUUACCUUUGCAGACCAUAUCUCGUUAGCAGGAAGGAUAGGGUUUAUAGGUGCGGGUUGAACAUCCUUUGUGGUGUCUAGAUUCCGUUAGCCUCCCCACUAGAACAGUAGAUCAUCCUUACCAAGGUUAGAAGGAGACUAAGGUUGCAGUCUUCUCUAUUUAUCACUCACAUCGAAAGACAUUCUUUGUGCCUAAAGGGUUAGUAGUAAUAGACCGGUUAGUCAGAUGCACUCUUUCUCCAAUUGUAAAAAAAUAAAUACGAUACUCUGGAUAAUUUCCCGGGUGAAAUGCUCACCGAUAUCCGUGCGCUUGCGGAUCAAUUCCUUAUUGCGUUCCCAAAUAUCAACAACAAGGACGAAUGGUUCAUCUUUGUAACCAACAUUGUUGAGGUCCACUAUUGUCAUUCCAUAGUCUUUGUCAACUGUCACCCCGCCUCCGGUAACCUUCACCCAUUGGCACCGGAACAAUGGGACUUUAAAAUUAGGUGCGUAGUCUAGUUCCCAAAUCUCCUCUAUACGGCCAUAAUAUGUUUGUCUGUUUCCAUUUGGGUCUGUGGCGUCUACACGAACCCCACUAUUUUGGUUCGUGCUUCUUUUAUCUGACGCAUAAACCAAGCUUCAUUCUUCUCUGGGAAUUGGGAUCGUAGGAAGUCCUUGUGUUUCGUGACAUACGGCUCCACCACGGAUGAGUUUUGAAGAACUGUGUAGUGUGCUUUAUUGAAAGAAUCGUUCCCUGUACCAAUGUAUGUUUUCUUUCCUAGUGUUCCCUUUCCACUCAGUCUCCCCUCGUGUCGCGAUUCAAGAACACCAAUUGGGUCAAGUUCAGGAAUGAAUUCAACACAGAACUCAAUGACCUCCUCCGUCCCAUAGCCCUCUGCGAUGCUUCCUUCUGGCCGAGCACGUUGGUGAACAUAUUUCUUCAAGACUCCCAUAAACCUAUCGAAGGGAAACAUAUUAUGUAGGAACACAGGACCAAGAAUAUUGAUCUCCUUGACCAGAUGAACUAGGAGGUGUGUCAUGAUAUCAAAGAAGGAUGGAGGGAACACUAACUCAAAGCUGACAAGACAUUGAACCACAUCAUUCAGUAGAGCAGCUAGUUCUAGUGGAUUGAUUGCCUUCUGAGAAAUUGCAUUGAGGAAUGCACAUAGCUUUACGGUGGCCAGACGUACAUGUGGAGGUAGAAUUCCUCUUAAUGCAACUGGAAGCAAUUGUAUCAUAAGCACAUGGCAGUCAUGCGACUUUAGGUUUAGAAAUUUCUUCUCUGGCACAUUAGUUAUACCUUUUAUAUUAGAGGAGAAUCCAGAUGGGACCUUGAUGCUGCUUAAGCAUUAAAACAUGAUUUCUUUCUCUUCAUUGCUAAGAGUGUAGCUAGCAGGUCUUAAAUGUUGGCGUCCAUCAUUUGUCUUCUCUGGAUGCAGUUUGUCUCGUUCUUCCAUGCGUUGCAAGUCUUGUCGUGCUUCAAGUGAAUCUUUAGGCUUCCCAUAGACACCCAUGAAUCCUAGAAGGUUCACACAAAGAUUCUUUGUUAGGUGCAUGAUGUCGAUCGCAUUCCAAACCUCUAGGACUUGCCAAUAGGGUAGCUCCCAAAAUAUUGACUUAUUCUUCCACAUGGGUGCAUGACCCGCUGCAUCUUUUGGAACUAGUUGGCUGCCUUGUCCCUUACCAAAAACUACUUUCACAUCCUUAACCAUCUCAAAUACAUCUUCUCCAGUUCUGUUGCGAGGCUUGCAUUGGUGGUCUGCCUUACCUUUAAAAUGCUUGCCUUUCUUUCUAACAGGGUGAUUCAUAGAAAGAAAUCGACGAUACCCAAGGUACACGACCUUUCUGCAUUUUUUUCAAAUAUAUACUAUCAAGGUCAUCAAAACAGUGUGUGCAUGCAUUAUAUCCCUUGUUUGUCUGCCCUAAAAGAUUACUUAGAGCAGGCCAAUCAUUGAUUGUCACAAACAACAGUGCUCGCAGGUCGAAGUGUUCCUGUUUGUACUCAUCCCACACACGAACACCUAUUUCACUCCAUAAAAGGAGUUCUUCAAUUAGUGGUCUUAGAUAGACAUCAAUGUCAUUGCCCGGUUGCUUCGGGCCUUGGAUGACCACUGGCAUCAUAAUGAACUUUCGCUUCAUGCAUAACCAUGGAGGAAGGUUGUAGAUACAUAGUAUAACAGGCCAAGUGCUCUGACUACUGCUCUGCUCACUAAAAAGAUUCAUAUCAUCCGUACUUAAAGCAAACCUUAAGUUUCUUGCGUCUUUUGCAAACUCUGGAAAUUCCAUGUCUAUUGCUCUCCACUGGGACCCAUCAGCAGGGUGUCUCAACAUGUUGUCUACUUUACUGUCUUCUUUGUGCCACCGCAACAAUUUUGCAUGGUCCUUAUUUCUAAAAAGACGUUUUAGACGUGGUAUUAUAGGAGCAUACCACAUAACCUUUGCAGGGAUUUUCUUUCUCGGACGUUCUUCCCCCUCAACAUCGCCAGGGUCAUCUCGCCUGACCUUAUACCGUGAUGCUUUAUAUACGGGGCAUUCAUCUAAAUUCUCGUAGUUCUUGCCACGAUAUAGGAUGCAGUCGUUAGGACAUGCAUGUAUCUUCUUGAUUUCUAAUCCCAAAGGACAGACGACCUAUUUUGCUUUGUACGUAGUAGUGGGCAGUUCAUUAGGCUUCGGCAACAUCUUUUUUUGGAUCUUCAGUAAUUGCCCAAAUGCCUUAUCGGAUACACCAUUCUGUGUCUUCCAUUUUAACAACUCCAGUGUUAUAUCUAAUUUUUUUUGCCUAUCCUGGGCAGAUGGGUAUAGUAAUUUCUUGUGAUCUUCUAAUGUGUGGUCAAACUUUGUCUUCUCUUUUUCACUUUCGCAAUCUUUUUGUGCAUCACGAAUGACAUCACCAAGAGCAUCAUCUUCAACAGGUGUGCCUUCUGCACCUGCCUCAUCUUUAGCUUCUCCCAUUGUUGUAUCACCGAAGUCACCGUAUUGAGCAAUAAAGGCUCCAACUGUUCUUCUUCACCUUCUUCCAUCAUUAUCCCGUUUUCUCCAUGCUUGGUCCAACAAUUAUAGUUUGGCAUCAAACCCGACUUCAACAAAUGUGAGUGAAUAUUUCUAGAGCUAGAAUAUUCUUUCAAAUUCUGAUACAAGGCACAUGGGCAACAUAUGAAUCCAUCCUGCCUGUUUUCCUCGGCCACUCUUAAGAAAUAAUGCACACCAUCAAUGAAUUCUUUGGAGCGACGAUCGGCAUUGUACAUCCAAUGACGUGUCAUUGUCUGCAUUGCAACGUAAAGUAUUAUAAGUUUCUAAUUUUUCUAUUUUUCUAACUAAUCAUGAAAUGUGGCAUGCAUACUAGUUAUAAUUAACGAAAUAACCUUGUCUCCAUUGCAACCCAAAAUAUUAUAAGUUUCUAAUUUUUUAUACAGAAAUUAAAGUAACAAAUAACCUAAAAUUCUCUAUUUCUAAUUUUUCUAAAUCAGCAAAAUUAAAAAGACAUAAAAGUUCUCUAUUUUUCUAACUAAUCGUGAAAUGUGGUAUGUUUAUUAGUUAUAAUUAACUAAUUAACCUUGUCAUAAAUUGUAAAUUAAAGUAUUAUAAGUUUCUAAUUUUUUAUACAGAAAUUAAAGUAACAAAAAACCUAAAACUCUCUAUUUCUAAUUUUUCUAAACAAGCAAAAUUAAAAAGCACAAAAGUUCUCUAUUUUUAUAAUUAACUCGGUCACAAAUUGCAAAUUAAAGUAUUAUAAGUUUUAAAUCUUUUUUCUAAACUAAUUAAAAUAAAAAAAACCAUAGUAUCACUAUUUCUCUAACUAAAUGUGGUAGACAUAAUAGUAAUGAAAAGUUAUUUUUAGGGAACUAAUUAUAGUUGGUAUCAUUCAAAUAUUCAAACGAUCAAGUGAUUGGAGUUUAAAAUAGCGUAGAUUUCAUAAAAUAAAAAAAACAUAUAAAACACUAGGAAAUGUCAUAUGUCGCUGCUAAUGUCGAGAAGAUGAAGCUAGUGACCUUUUAACAAGUCGAUGACGGCGUAGAAAUGAUGAAAUGCAUCAAUAGCCGGAGAUGAGAGCAAGAACAAGCAAGAACAAAUGUGAAGAACACAGCAAAAGAGUGAAGAUCAGGCUUGGCCAGAGGAAGAAGAGGAGUUCAAUAUGGAGAGGGACAUUUAAUCCCGGUUACAAUUACCAACAGGAACUAAACUCUAACAUUUAGUUUUGGCCGGUGAGACGGACCGGAACAACAGCUUUUAAUCCCGGUUGGUGUUACCAACCGGGACUAAAGGCUGGGCUUUAGUCCUGGUUCGGAAGACCAACCGGGACUAACCCCUUCUGCCGAUCUCUGACACCAUAGCCGUUGGGCAGGGGACUUUUAGUCCCGGUUAGUGUCACCAACCGGGACGAAAAAUGUUUUUGUCUCGGACGCUGAUUGGGUCGAGACUAUUGUUUGUUUUGGACAAGUGACAAAGGUCUGUUAUGUAGUAGUGAAGGUUCGUAUAUGUAGCUCCACAAAUCAAGUUAUGCAACCCCACUGCUUGAAAAAGAUCAAAUGACAAGGAACACUGAUGCGUGAUGAUGCCUUUGCCCUGGGAGAAGAUCACGACAGCAAUUAAAACAGAUAGUGGGAGUACAUGCUAAUUAAGUCUCUCAGUAGGGCUGAACCGCGUACACUUGAUGUGCAAUUGGCGCGAGCACCAAGCUAGCUAGUUAUUAUCCGAAAUAAGAAGAGAAGAAAUUAUAUUAGAAAGACCCACACGCGCUAACGCAGGGUCAUCAAAUCGAUCGUACCAGCAGACGACAAGUGCGCAAUGCGUCUGGCUUCCGAGUUCCGACCAGUAAGAAGUGUGACACAACACAUGAGGCGCAUCAGCCGAUCGUGGCGUGCGGCCACCGGACACGAUAGCAGACGGCCGGUGCACCGGAUUAGAAGGGGACGCGACAGGUUCGGCAGUGCGCGGGCAGGUCGCGUCCGCUGCGGGAUCAGGAAUCGGCCAUGCAUCAGUCAAAUCACAGACGAGAUAAGGUAGGAAACACGGAGAAUGAAGCCGGCCAAAUGCAAGACGACACUGUCCACUUCCCGAACGGCCGGCCGGUUUCCUACGAUUCCCGUGACUUAGGGCCUGUUUAAUUUUCGUCUAAAAACUUUUAGUUCUAUUAUAUUCAAUAUAAAUAUUUGAAUACAUACGUGAAACAUUAAAUAUAGAUUAAAAGUAACUAAUUAUAUAUUUUAUAUGUAUUUUACGUAGGGAUGAAAACGGUACGGAUAUUAGAGGAUUCAGCUAUGUUCGUAUCCGAGUCCAAAUAUUCAAUAUCCGAUACUAUAUCCGUGUCCGAAUACUUAAAUCGUAUAUUUAUGAUGUCAACAUCCAAUCGAAUACUUAAAUCGUAUAUUUAUGAUGUCAACAUCCAAUCAUAUCUUAUCUGACAUGAUUGAUAUUAUCCGUAUUUGAAUCAGAAUUUAACCAGAAAUAUGAAAACAAAUAUGAUAUCGAUGAUAUCUUUUUUUAAUAAUGGAUAAACAAAUAUCCGGCUUCUACAUCCAGAGAUGUACACAGCCAAUUAUUACAGAGUUUGGGAGAAUCACAGUGAGAGCUAUAGUCUUAUAAAUCGACCAGGAUGCUAAAGCAAACAAUAUAAAUGUUUCCAACCCCUAUUGGAUAUCUCUAGAGCGAUUAUUUCUAACUUCUUGCUGGCGUCUUUGGCUGACUCGUCACACUGUAGCUGGGCCCAAGAGCGUAACCAAUAUGCUCCUCUGGAAAUUACUGCAUAAUCGAGUUAGUUUUUAUCUUAUUAAAAAUAAUAUCAUUACGGCAUCUCGAGAUAGCCCAGCAAAAAGAAGUCACCCGUAUUCGAUCCGUUUUCAUUUCUAAUUUUACGAGAUGAAUAUUUCAAAUCUAAUUAUUAAUAUAUAUUGACACUAAUUAAUAUAGUUAUAAAUGUAUUAUAGUAUUUAAAGACUUUUCUUUUCGCGAACAAGGACUACCGGUGCGUUAUGGUGAUGGGGCGAAGCUAUAAUUUUUGGGGACAGCAACCAUUAAUUGACGGAUACAACCUCUAUCAUGGAAAGGACGUAACUAUGCUAUACAUAACAGUUAAAUUGUUUUUAUCUUUGAGCAGUUUCUAGUAAACAGUAUUCACACUUAUGACUCUAAAUCAAUUUAUUAUAAAAACAUAUUUCGUAAUUGUUGAUGUAAAAAUUAGUAUCUUCGCUACUACGUAAUGAGGCAUUGGUCGAUGCCCAAAAUCACCAAAAGCCUCGGCCUUUUUGCGGCUCGGGGCUAAAGACCCCUUUAGACACGGUUCGUAACACGGGCCGGUGCUAAAGGGGUCUGUCCAACAGCUACUGACCAGUGUUGUCGGGGCAGGGACCCUUUAGCACCGAUUCUUGUUACCAACCGAUGCUAAAGGGUCCCCUUUAGCACCGGUCAGGCCGAGCCAAACCCUUUAGCACCGGUCAAGGGCACAAACCGGUGCUAAAGGUGACCUUUUAGCACCGAUUUGUGUCUUGAACCAGUUCUAAAGGGUCCGGUUUAUAGGCCACGGCUACCUCUCCUCCCCUCUGCCUGGGUCAUUUAAAAUCAGAGAGCACCAUUGUUGUUAUUAGAGCUUGCAUUUUGUUCUUCUUGCUUGUUCUUCCUUUGUUCUUCAUCUCCGACGCCCAUCGUUGAUCUUCUUCGACUCCGUCAUCGUCUCUUCAUGCUUGGAGGUGACUAACUUCAUCGUUGAUCACGAGCUAAUUAGCAAUCCAAAGUCAAACCCUCAGCAGGUGCCACACACCCACUCACAAAUGGGGAUCCUCCAAGCCACGAGCAAUCCACUAGAGUAGCCAAUUGUGAUCUCCCAUAGGGAAGGUUUAAGAACUCCUCACAAAUUACUUGGUGAGGCUCGAAACAGUCUCCAAUCACGAGCUCAAUACCUUCGCUGCUCCAAGUCAUCUAGGGUGUCGGAAAAUACCUAAGAGUAACAAGAAAUCUACAAUAAACUCAAGAAUCAAAUGUCACUAGAUACAAUUCUCAAUGCAAUACACAUGAAUCUCACUCGAUCUCACUAGAAUGAGCAAUCAAGCAAGAAGAUAAGUGGACGGAGUGUUCUCUAACUUAAAAUAUAUCUCAAGUACUCACAAGUGCUAGAGAGAAGCCCCUAAAGCUAGUUUAUAAAGUUUCACCCAACAGCUAGCCAUUAGGGGCAACUGUGGGGGCAUCGGACACUCUGAUGCCUCGCUGUUAGACGCGGCUCAGCAUUUGACGCUCGCCUACCACGUCUCUUAGAUUGCUACCACGUGUCCCUCUUCAAAAGUGGACCGUUGAACGCCAACAGUCACUUGAAAGUUAACAAACUUUCAGAGCACGUGUCGGACGCGUCAAAUGUCAGGCAUCAAACAUGUCGUUUUGAAACCUUUCGAUCUUAUGUUGAACGCGUCUGACGGUGUGACAUCGGACACACCCCAGCGUUUGAUGCCACAGUCAGAAACACUCUCGCGACAGAAGCUGACAGCGCACAACACCGGACGCUCGAACAAUGUUCGGCCUACGUCCGACGUGAACACAUCGAACGCUCCGACACACACAACUGUUUGCGCCUUACUGCGCUAAACGCGUCGGACGCGGGCUCAACUUCCGACACUGUCUGACCCAAUAUCCGACGAGGGUCGCACGACUUCGCCAAAACUUUCUCCGACGCAAUGGACAAUAUGUAUUCUAUUUUCCUGAAAGCGCCGAAUCCCAACCCUAACCCCUUUCUACCCCUCAAACUCCACCUCCUCUAAAAAUGUGCUAACACCACCAACUGUACACCACCAUUGUGCAUGUGUGUUAGCAUUUCACAAAUAUUUUCUUCAAAGAAGUUAGGUUAGCACUCUACUAGAUCCUAAUACAUAUGCUCAAGAAUUGAGCUAGUAGCACUUGAUUCGAGAUAUUACCAUGAUUUUCCCUCUUGAUAGUCAGCUAUCUAUCCUAAAUUCGGUCAAUCACUUCUCUACUCAUCUUAGACUAGCAAAAGCAAAAAUCUAUGUUUAUACAUUUGCCUUGAUGACUUUACUCCUUGUCUAUCACCAUGAUCUCCACUUCAUGCUUCAUCUCUUUGUGAUCAUGUGUCCACCACUCCAUGUCACAUUGCUCCUUUAUCACAUGUGUUUUUAUGCCUAACUUAAAUCACCUAAAUACAAUGGCCUUAGCAACUUAGUGUCAUUAAUUACCAAAACCAAACUUGGGCUUUCACAUAUGGACAAACAUGUCACUCAUCGCGCCUACCACAAAAAAACAACAUUGUUAAAUUCUAGAAUUAUUACAAGAAAAUACAAGCACCAACUUAAGUCGAGAACCUGAAUAUAGGUGGACAGAUACCACCACUAGUAACUAAACCAGUUGAGCUACACUUAGUUCGUGAAACAAUCAACUUUUAACAACCUAUAUGCCAUUGUCCGAUUAGUUUAAGGACUCCAUAUUGUCAAUGCUCACUGUUUGUUUGGUUUGUAAAAUAAUAAAAUGGAUUGAUUGAUCAAAACUAGUGCUUCCCAUAACUAAUGAUUAGUGUUAUAAAAAGUUGAGUUAUUUACACCAAAUUUGAAGGAAAAACUCAUGUCUCAUGUAUACAACCUUGUGUAGCAUGGGUAGUUCAUCAAACCAUACAUGAUCUAAGCGAGCACUAUAACAAGCCUUAGUACCUCCCAAGUAGAGGUGCAAUGGAUUUGCAUCCAAUUCCAUAUGGAUAAAUGGAAUUAAAAUCUAAGGGGAAAAAAUCCAAGGUCGAACUUAUCCAACCUAAUUGCUUUUAAGGCCGAUCCAACCAAUAUGAUCCAAUAACAACAAAACUAUUACAACUACCUUUUAAUUCUGUAUCAAAAGCUGAGCCCUAAAAUUUAAAAGCUCGAUGUCACACAUUAAAAUUUUAGCAAAAUUUAUUAAAAUAUGUUAGAGAUAAAUCAGUAUGAUUGUGCACUACUAUAUGUAGACUGGUGUGACUAGAUAUAUACGUGGCCCCAUGUCAAAAGUUAGACUCUAGAAGUAUAAAUCUCGCAUUGACACUUUAAAAUUUUAGCAAAGUUGACAUAAAAGUUAUUAGAGAUAAUUCAAUACGAUUGCCUGCUACUUUGUGUAAAGAUCAGUGUGAUUAGGUAUAUAAGUGCUGGGCUCUAAAGUUGAAAAACGGUAUUAUAUAUUAUAGAAAACGAAAAUAGAUGGCAUGGGAUUUUUCUACAUUUGUGAAAUCAACCAAUACAAAAAAAAUUAAAAAUGGUUGUGAGCAUCUCCAAGUGAUUAGCUAAAUUAUUUUCUAAAGGUAAAUUUGGCUAUUGUUGAAGAAAAAACGUUCCUAACCGACUCUCCAAAUUUAGUAGCUCUCCAUCCCACCUUAUUCGUUCUCUACUUUUGGAUAGCCUACCUCACUAGCCAUCUUUUAUAGAGUUUGUUGGAGUACUCUAAUAUUUUUUUCAAAUCUAUUUUAGAGAGUAGCUAAAUCGGUAAAUUUGGCUAGUUUUUUUGGCUAAUCUCUUAGAGCAUCUCUAAGAGUCUUUGCAAAUUUCACUCUCUAAAUCAUCGUUUAAAGAACCAUUUCUGUAAAAAUCGCUUUCUAUAUUUCUUCACUCUCCAACAACUGUUCUAUCUCUCGUGCGCACUCUAAAAAGUCAUUCUCGUCUUCUAUUUUUUGCUAGCUAAAACAAUUAAAAUAGAAGAUGGCUAUAUUUACAUAACCAUUUAGACAAACUGUUGGAAUCUCUUGCCUAACAUUUAGGAAGGAUUUAGAGAAUCUCUUGGAGUUGCUCUUAGAAAUGCUCAAUGACUUCACUUUCACUCCUAAAUCCAAUCAACACUAGGGGACUUUUUGAGGUAAUGUCGGAUAAAUUUUGGGUUUUCUUGGAUUACAUUAUUAUAAACAUCUAAAACCAAACAGAUCCCGUUCAAAUACAUCAAAGCAACUAAAGUCCUAUUGAAUUUUGACUGGAUUAUAUAUAUCCAAAUCCAUUGCCUCCCCUACUCCCAAGUCCCGUCUCCUGUGGGACGGGGAGCUUUGCAUUGGUCUCAUGAGUCAUGACUUGAGAUCAGCGCCGGCAAAUGACUAUCAAGAAGCCCCGCCUGCGUGUUCGUUCCUCCCUCCGAGCUGAAUGGACGAGCAUUUCCGGCCGUUCAAUCUCGUUCAAACCAGAAAAGAAACGACCACCACUGCAACCCAUCGACGACGGCUGAUGCAUGCAGAAACGUACGGCCGGACCAAGCCAAACAUGGCAUUGGCAUGCAAGCAAGCAAGAAAAAAAAAUCUCAAUUCUGCGCGUUGGCUGCUGACGACAGGUGAAACCAACCGUACCGUACGUAGGAACCAUGACCGAUAGCAGAGCAGGUGACAGAGGACGCCAGGACGACGCCGCCUCCAUCUCUUCGUUCCCCAAGGCGGCGCGGCGAUCGAGACAGAUCGAGGGAGAAGUCAGUUGAUCAUCGGCGCGACAGAUCGUUACUGGUGGCCUGAUUUGGCACCGGAGGCCGGCCUCCGUUCUCCCAGCGGCGCCAUGGCGUGGCGUGCGUAUAAGAUGGCAGCGGCAGUGCAAGCGAAGAGCUUUGCCAUCUUUGAGCGCGGCGACGGGGCAGAUAUAAAAGCGUAUGCAGCCUCUCCUCCACUCGGAUCCCCGGUAUCUCAAUCUCCUCCGGCGUCGCCGGCCGGGAUCUCAUUGCUACCUUCAUUAUUCAUUUCAGGAUAUGAAUUUGACGAAUUCAGUUAGUUUUCAGAAUAUACAUUACUCUUCAGUUUCCUUAUGAUGAUAUGAACUUGUGACAGGGCACUAGGAUCUGAGGCCUACACGAGCGAGGUUGGUCUGUAUAGAUCCAUCAUAAAACCCCAGAAGCCCUUUCGAUCGAUCCCUUUGGCCCGGAGCUCGAACUGAACGCGUGCGAGAUCACCGGAGUGGAUCAAAGACGAAGAGAUGUCGUCGUCAGCCGAAGCCGAGAGCGCGGCGGCGGCGGCGACCGAGAGGUUCCAGCGCCAUGACUCCCUGUACGGCGACGCCGAGAAGGUCACCAACGGCAAGCACCACGGCUCCGGGGUACAGUAUUUAGUUUCACACAUGACAUUUUUUUUUAUUAGCUCAUUUUCGUCGUCAUUCAUGCCCCCCCUGUGUUCCCCUUUAGACAUUGAUGAUGUUGCCAUAUAUGGACAUGGGUUAAUUGCGUGCGUGGCGCCGUGCAGGACAGCUGGGCGCGGACGCUGAUGCUGGCGUUCCAGAGCAUCGGCGUGGUGUACGGCGACAUCGGGACGUCGCCGCUGUACGUGUACUCGAGCACGUUCCCGGACGGCAUCCGGCACCCCGACGACCUCCUCGGCGUCCUCUCGCUCAUCCUCUACACUCUCAUCCUCAUCCCUAUGCUCAAGUACGUCUUCGUCGUCCUCCACGCCAACGACAAUGGCGAUGGUGAGCUAGCUUGCUUGCUUUGCUUGCUUGCGUGUGGGCAUAUAUACUUCAUGGACGACAUUGAUCUUACUUGCAAUGAUGAUGAUGUUGAACCGAUCGAAGCAUAUAUAUGAAUGAAGUAUAUAUAAAACUGCAGGUGGAACGUUCGCGCUCUACUCGCUGAUCUCGCGGUACGCCAAGAUCAGGAUGAUCCCAGACCAGCAGAGCGAGGACGCAACGGUAUCCAACUACAGGGUGGAGGCGGCCAGCUCACGGCUGCGGAGGGCGCAGUGGCUCAAGGAGAAGCUCGAGUCCAGCAAUGCCGCCAAGAUCGGGCUCUUCACCAUCACCAUCCUCGGCACCUCCAUGGUCAUGGGCGAUGGAACCUUGACGCCAGCAAUCUCUGGUACGGAUCAAGUCUUCCAAACCCAUGCAUUAAUUUGUGGAUUUAACUGCCGUUUAACUGUUCUUGCAGUGCUCUCGGCAGUGAGUGGGAUCAGGGAGAAAGCGCCCAACUUGAGCCAAUGUAUUUUUUUUAUUCAGGCAUCCAUCAGUAGAAACAACUUGCAUUGCAUUGUGACUUUGUGAGUCGAUCUGCUUCUUCAUGAAACGACUAGAUAGCUAACCUCUCAAGUUCGUGGCUUCUGUUGUCGUUUUUGCUACAGUGGAGGUGGUGUGGAUCUCGGUGGCCAUACUGUUCCUUCUCUUCUCGGUGCAGCGCUUCGGCACCGACAAGGUGGGCUACUCCUUCGCGCCCAUCAUAUCCGUGUGGUUCGUCCUCAUCGCCGGCACUGGGAUGUACAACCUCGCCGCGCACGAUGCCACCGUCCUCCGCGCCUUCAACCCCAUGUACAUUGUCGACUACUUCCGCAGGAACGGCAAGGAGGCAUGGGUCUCGCUAGGUGGUGCCGUCCUCUGCAUCACCGGCACGGAGGCCAUGUUUGCCGAUCUCGGCCAUUUUAACAUCAGGGCCAUUCAGGUACAUACCAAGUAACAGCCAUAGCAGACGACGAGACGAGACCUAUUGAUUUCAAUGUCAGUUACCAAAUUGUUCGUUUGCUUUUGCAGAUCAGCUUCACAUGCAUCCUCUUCCCCUCUGUGGCGCUGUGCUACAUGGGUCAGGCGGCCUACCUGCGCAAAUUCCCUGAAAACGUUGUCGACACCUUCUACAAAUCCAUCCCAGGUAGGUGUACGUCUUCUACUGUUUACGUAAUCUGCACAUGUACUAUGUACAGUACAUCGAAGUUCGAAAGUUGGAAACUGAAUCGGAUCGAGAGCUAGCUAACAAUGCAUGCACGCACGCAGUGGCCAUGUUCUGGCCGGCGUUCCUGGUGGCGAUCCUGGCGGCGAUCAUCGCGAGCCAGGCCAUGCUGUCGGGCGCGUUCGCCAUCCUGUCCAAGGCGCUGUCCCUGGGGUGCUUCCCCCGGGUGGAGGUGGUGCACACCUCCAGCAAGUACGCGGGGCAGGUGUACCUCCCGGAGGUGAACUUGCUGAUCGGCGUCGCCAGCGUCGCCGUCACGCUGGGGUUCCAGACCACGGCCAACAUCGGCAACGCGUACGGGAUCUGCGUGGUGACCGUCUUCUCCAUCACCACGCACCUGCUGGCGGUGGUGAUGCUGCUGGUGUGGCGCGCGCAGCCGGCGCUGUCCGCCGCCUUCUACGCCGUCUUCGGCCUCGUCGAGUUCCUCUACCUCUCCUCCAUCCUCUCCAAGUUCGCCGAGGGCGGGUACCUGCCCUUCUGCUUCUCGCUGGUGCUCAUGGCGCUCAUGGCCGCGUGGCACUACGUCCACGUCCUGCGCUACUGGUACGAGCUGGACCACGCCGUGCCGGCGGCCGAGCUGGCCGCCGUGCUGGCGCGCCGCGACGUGCGCCGGGUGCCCGGCGUCGGCCUCCUCUACUCGGAGCUGGUCCAGGGGAUCCCGCCCGUGUUCCCGCGCCUGGUCGACAAGAUCCCCUCCGUGCACGCCGUCUUCGUCUUCGUGUCCAUCAAGCACCUCCCGAUCCCACGCGUAGCGGCGCCGGAGCGCUUCAUCUUCCGGCGCGUCGGCCCCGUCGACCACCGCGUGUUCCGCUGCGUGGCGAGGUACGGCUACACGGACCCGAUGGAAGGGCACCGGGAGUUCGCCGCCUUCCUCCUGGACCGCCUCAAGACGUUCGUCCAGGAGGAGGCCGCCUUCGCCUCCACCACCAGCGGUUCAUCGGCGGCGGUGGCGGUGGCGGAGGAGGAGCAGCGGCUCAUCGACGCGGAGGCGGAGCGCGGGGUGGUGUACCUGAUGGGGGAGGCCACGGUGACGGCGGCGGCGGGGUCGUCGCUGCUGAAACGGGUGGUGGUGAACAACGUGUACGGCUUCCUACGGAAGAACCUCCGGGGGGAGAGCCACAAGGCGCUGUCCAUCCCCAAAGACCAGCUGCUCAGGGUCGGCAUCACCUACGAGAUCUGACUGAUUAUUCUCGUCUUGCUACUAGUCGUAUUCUAGCUAUUUUUACUAGAGCUACUAGCUUGUGCUUCCUUUGUGCCACGUACCUCCUUGUUGCAAGCAACUUUCCAAUGGCUGGCGUGCCUAGCAAUUGUAGCGACGACACUGUUGCUUAAUCUGUCGUUGUGCACAUGUAGUAGCUGCCGUUCAUUGUCUCUGACUGUUAAUACGACCACUGAGAAAAAAAGGUCACUGCAUACGUACACUGUCGUCAUGCCGUCCUUUACAAUUGUUGUGUUGCUGAAUCUGUAGAUAUGCCUCUGUGUCCUUUCUCUUGUCUGUUAAUAUUCAGAAGGACGCAUGCCUGAUCUGAAACUGUAAAUCCACAAGCUGCUGAACCAAGCAGCAUAGGGCAGUCCGGAUAUAACGGCUUCGGCGCUUUGCUUGUACUGUAUUCGGUGUCACCAAACGAAGACGAACCAGUCCCUCACUUCCCUAUUAUCCUUAGACACUGCUGCCUGGGGCUCCUCUCUCGGACUCGGAGGAAGAAAAGCAGGCAUGCAGACUGAAGGCCAGACUCAGCACACUUAGCUUCCUGAUGAUUUGUUAUGCACAGUUCUAAUUCCAACGGAUGUCAGACUAUCAGGCAAUGGGCUAAUGGCACAGUGAUGAGCACAAAAAGUACCAUCUAGUGUAUACUAUUGGGGUUUGAAUUUGGCAAUAGCAUCUCACUGGACAAAACGCUGCUGACAACUUAACAUUCAAAGCUAGGCCAAGUUAACAGAGGGGUCGUAAGGCCAAAUCCGAACAGUUAAUAUCACCAAACACACCAACUGCAGAAUGGAAUUGGUUAAUUGGCGUUGGGGGUAGUGAACGAAAGCUGAUCGAUUCUUCGAACAGUUAAUAUCACCAAACAUACAACUGCAGAGUUGAAUUGGUUAACUGGCCAUGAGGGUAGUGAACGAAAGCUGAUCUUGGUGGGUGUCGCCACUCUUCUCUGAGUGUACAUCGGAAUGAUGUUGUUUUCGAAAAGAAACAAUAUAUUUCUUUCUUCUAUGCAGGCUACCUUCUAGAUGCGGUUUUGGGCAUAUCGUUGCAGCGUGUGAGGAUGCAAAGGAAACCAUUCAACUGGCGAACCGAGCACUGUAAGCUGUUGCAUUGGACCUUUUCCACAAUAAUAGACUUAAUUUGCAUAUAAUCACCUUGAUCUACUUGUGUUCUCAUUCCCUUUUUUUUUACAGCAAUUAGCUGAAAAUUUUGUAAAGAAUUGGAUGUGUGCGAUUGCAGAGGCCAGAAACUUCUUUUUUCCAUUGUAAAUCUAAAAAAACAAAAAUACACAACUGCAGAUUGAUCAAGAUCAAAGUGUAGAAUUAACUUGAAGGAAGAUGCUAUUCACCGUGACAUAGCUAGAUGCUAAACCGGCGACGGUCCAUUUGACAUACACUUUAGCCUGUUGCGGUAACACAGCUUGUGCGUAUUGGAAGACAUGAUGUCGAAACUCUUGAAACCUCCAGGGGCAGCUCCAUGCAGCCGAGGAAACUCCAAAUACUACAACAGUAGGGGAAGAUCUCACAGUUGCACCGAAGAGACGAGAGGAGCUUUGAUCGUUGAUGCCAUUACCCCGGCAAGGGCGCAAGGCCGGAUACAAAAACUGCGGCCUACGUUUUGUCUCUUGUCCCGGAUCUCACCCUUGGCAUGCAUAUUCCAUCCCCCCCCUUUGUACCCAUGAAACAUGACAUGCAUUACAGCUUCAACUGUCGAUGAUUGCAAAGCGCCCGUACAGAUUUCUACGAUCGAUCGUCGGUAAAAGAGCAGCAGCAGCAGCAGAAAUUACCGUCUGCAGUUCACAGUAUCAUAAAUCUUUUCUGUGGAAAGACGAGUGGCACACCAGGCAUGCAGUAACGGGAGUGCAACGAAAUGAGUACACAGUAGUAGCUCAAGACUAUAGCUCUCUUCUUUUCCUGUGUGUGCAGCUUUACUGAAUCAUGGAUUUGGCGGUAUAAAACAUCUCACAUAUAUGACGAGAACGUAAAGGUACACGCUAAUCAAAUUAUGUCAUGUAUGGUGGUGGAAACAAAUAGUUAGGUGGAGUACAUGAUAAUAUGCCGCCAAAUACAGAUUGUGCUAAUCAAAUUAUGAUAUGUAAUGUUAUGUCUUGUCAUAUGUUUAAAUCAUGCCAACAAAUUAGCUAUCACGUAAGUUGUACACAUGCUACUCAAAUUAUGCUAAAUCAAAUGGGCUUUAUUUACAGUGGUACCUCAUAAUAUUGGGAGCCAUUCAUUUAAUUAGAUCGGAAUGUUAGAAUCACCUAUUACUUACUAGGAGGUAAUAGAUGAAAUAUAUAUUUAUUCAAUGUUAAAUUUGGUAAAAUAGGAUAGAAAACUUUUAGAUAUAAAUUUUAAUUUCUACAUGGAAUUUUUUUGUUUUGUAACUUUAGACAUGGAAUAAUUUAAUUAGCCACAGUUGCCGUGAACCCAUUUUUUUUCGUGCAUGUAAUCUCAUCAUUCCCAAAUCAAAGUAUACGUGACCGUGAAUGUCUCGUUGCCAAAUCCAUGUUCGUACAUGACCAUCAUCAUUUUAAAUUUAAUUUGCGCAUGUCAUCAUUUUUUAUGCUUGUAUAUAAGUUCUUGUUCCUAAAUCUAGCUACAUACGUGACAGCACACAUAAGAGUUUUUUUAAUUGAGUAUAUAAGACGUGAUCGUUGUACUACUUUAAUGUGUCUAAGCAUCUCAUAAAAAGUUUUUGAUCACUUAAUAUGUACGUUAGCAUCACACUGUAUGCAUAAUGAACCCAUUAAAAAAAUUACACAUGGAUACGUAUUCAUCUUGCCAUUGGAGUGAUACUUGUAAUAUAAAUGAUUAAUAGAGUUGGGAAUUUGAGAAAUUAGUGGCUUCACGUCCACUUGUCCAUGCCGUGAUGAGGAUUUUGAGAAUAACUUCUUUUUUAUAUUAACCAAUUAUUUAAUAUUAAAAAUAUCAAAUUCAAUGUCUUAAAUUUAUUUGAGAUAUUACCUUGUAGAAAGUAAAGAGGUACCGUAACAUCUCCCAAAUCAAAUUAUGUCAUAUCCAAAGUUAAAAAAAAAAUUCCACAUCGUAUAGAUCAUGCAUGCAUCGAUUAGAUCUAAAAAAAAUUAUUAUCUAAAUCUUUCCUCAGUUAUCAUGUUUUACCAAAUAGAAAAAUUAAAUAGAUAUAUAUUUCACUUAUUAGUUGCUAAGAAGUACUCCCUGUGUCCUGUAAUAUAGUGCAUUCUAACAUUCAAAAUUUGUUCUUGAAUAUAAUGCAUUCUAGAAGAUAAAAACUAAUUUUACAUAAAAUAUUUUUUAUUUAUCAAUCAAUUACCAUCAAUUGCGUUAAUGAUAGCAUGCAUCUAGUUAGGAAAUGAAAUGAGGGUACAUGCAUUUUCUAUGUUUUCUCUUAAUUUAUUCUAAAAUUCUUAAAAUACACUAUAUCACCGGACAUAGGAAGUAAUAGCUGACUAUAACUGUUUGAUCCAAUUAAAUGAAUGGCUCACAUUUAUUUGGGGAUGCCAAAGCCCUAGAAAUUCCGUUAGAAACAAUAAACUGAACAUCGGUGCUGAUGAGGCAAUCAGAUUCGCAUUCCAUGGGUUAAACAAUAUAUAUAACUCGUUGAUGCUGACAGAAAGUUAAUCAACCGUUUUCCUAUUGUCUAGUUGCAGACCCUUCAUUCCGUUGUGCAUAAAUCACUGUCCCCCUUUCACGUUACUGGCACCCUCGAUCUGCAUCCAGUAUCUGGACCUCCAAACAAUGUCACACACGUCGGAAGAAGAAUCCGCCCUCAACAACUUGCAGCAGCAGGCAAAGCAAGCUUGCCCUGCUGGGUCAAGCAAAGCUGACACAGCCAUGCCUGUAGGGAAAAAGAGACGAGGCCAUCCAGGAACUCCAGGUAUGAUGCUUCAACUUAUUUUUCAACUAGCACGCACACUUGUUUUCCAUAAACAAUAAGUCCAUGCCGGAUUUUUUUUUGCCAUGUCAAGAUGGCAGAACACACGUGCAAGUGCAAUAAUGUAAUUAACUCAACUCAAUGUUUAAAACAAUUAAUGGUCUUUGUUCUUAAUUACAAACUUAUGAGAAACCAAAUAAAGAAAGAUGAAGCCAUGGUAAUACAAAUUUCUGAAUCUCAGUAGAGACUCUAAUUGACCUACCCUUCUGCGCAUGAGAAUUCAGGAAUACACGAAAAGUGUUUCUUGUGAAGUGUUGUUUUGGCUCUUUACUAAGGAGCUCAUGAUAUCAUGUUUUACCUAAUUAUUACUUUAGAUUAUAGUUUCAUCAUGAUUUUUUUUUGUUUGGCCAUAAUUAGUAUCAACUCUAUUCCUAUAUUUCCAGUUCUCCACAAUGCAUAUUUUUACUUUGUUCAGAAUCAUUCCCACCGAGAUUUGAGUUACAUAGAUGGAAAUAAAAGAUGAUCUAGAUAGAUAAUCAUCAUAAUAAAUCAAACUUUACACUUUACAACAUUGAUUCAUGGACAUCUGUUUACACAUGAACACGUCACCACGUACCACUGGCGUUGAGCACGAUUCGCAAAACAUAUGGUCGGAGGAGCAUCACCUGGAGUGCUAUAUGCACGUUGAAACCCGAAACCCCACACACCCACGACUGCCCUAGCCGGCUUGACCGAUCUAGGGCUUCAAAGCAUUGUUCAAACUUUAUCCGGCCAAGCAUUUAGUUAGGAAAAUAUUAACCGCCUGUUCUCCGAACUGGUUCUAACCUUCUCGUAACAUCUCUCGUUUUCCUUGAUUUGUUUUAUUUUGCCUUCACGCACGUCGUUAGCAUCAGGCCAGAGUCCAGGACCCAUACGCAUGCAUGCAACCAGCAGUCUGAUUCAAUUAUUUCUCCUUUACCUCCGAUUUCUUUAAUAGUGAAAAGUCCAGCAUGCAACCUAAAAUCAUCUGGAGCUUCAUGCAUGUGUGUCUGCUCGCCAAUCUUAGAGCGCAGACCAACCAAAACCAAAGUUACUGGAAAGGACAUACAAGACGCCAAACAUGUCUGCACUAUCCAGAUAAUAAAUAAAAUCAUCCUUGAUGCUAUAUAACCAGCCUAUCUAGUCGAAUGAUUAUAUGAUGACGUUAACCAAACUAAUAAGCUAAUUUAUGUUAUCAAGUAAUCGGCCACAUUAAAUAUAGCCGAACUGAUUAAACAGAGGCCCAAUCACCAAAUCGUUUUAAUAGUCGAAUUUGGCUAUCUGACGUGUUCACGUGAAAUAUGACAUGAGCCAAAUUUAAGUGUCAAGAACAUCCUAAGUAGCAAAGACAAUCAGAUUGUUCUACAGGACAUACUCCCUUCAUCUCAAAUUAUAAGUCAUUCUAACUUUUUUUGAAGAGUCAAAGCAUCUCAAGUUUGACUAAAUUUUUCUAUGAUAAAAUAAAUAAUAUUUAUGGUACCAAAUAAGUUAGAUUCUUUAUUUGUAUUUUUAUAUUAUAACUAUUUGAUGUCACAAAUUUUGAUAAUUUUCUCUAUAAUUUUAAUCACCUUAAGAUGCUUUGGCUUUCUAAAAAAAAGUUAAAAUGACUUGUAAUUUGGAAUGGAGGUAGUAGGUAUCAACUUACAACCUCAUUACGAAUGUUUGCACUUCAACAUGCAUGUGAAAACCUAACAUUGGUUCAUGAUAUCCCUUUGGCAGAUGCUGAUGUGGAAGUAGUGGCUUUGUCACCCAAGGCACUCCUGGCAACAAACAGAUACAUAUGUGAGGUCUGUCACAAGGGCUUCCAAAGAGACCAGAACCUCCAGCUCCAUAGGAGGGGCCAUAACCUACCAUGGAAGCUGAAGCAGAGAAGCAGCAAUGAAGCUAAAAAGAAGGUGUAUGUCUGCCCUGAGGUCACCUGCCCUCAUCAUGAUGGAAGCCGAGCAUUGGGCGAUCUCACAGGCAUAAAGAAGCACUACUCCAGGAAACAUGGGGAGAAGAAGUGGAAGUGUGACAGGUGUUCAAAGAAGUAUGCUGUUCAGUCGGACUGGAAGGCGCACACAAAGAUAUGUGGCACAAAGGAGUACCGAUGUGACUGUGGAACAAUAUUCUCAAGGUAUGUCUAUGUUCAUUGUUCACACUAAUCCAGUUUGUUAAAAACAAAUAAGUUUACCAAUUUCGGUAGACGUCAAAUUGUAUGAAAAUAUCAGCAACUGAAGCAACACAAUGCCAAUGGAAUAUUAUAAAUGACUUACGAGUAUUUAUACUCCAUAUAUCGACUUUUGAAAAUUUACCUUCAAAUUCAAUCGAUUGUAUAUAAUUGCAGAAAGGACAGUUUCAUCACACAUCGAGCCUUCUGUGAUGCACUGGCUGAAGACAACUCCAGGGCUAACCAUAGCCUUGCAACAAUGGUGGGAAGUCUGCAUGGUCACCAGCACAAUAUCUUUUCACAUGGAGUACCUACCUUCCCCACUUCACCAACUAAUGUGAUGGCAAACUUGUCGAGCAAUGAUCAUAAUUCAUAUAGUCAUCUGAAAUCUCUGUCCCCUUAUGCUCUGAUUACAAGAAACACAACAUUGUUCUCCAACCAGAUAUCACCCAAGGAUUCAGGCUUUCCACUUGAUGGAAGCGCGUCAAGUUACCCUUAUAUGCCAAUGAAUUCCCCAUACAUGUCUGCUACUGCACUUCUACAGAAAGCUGCAGAGAUGGGUGCGAAGACCAGCCAGGAUCCUAUAUCACCAUUACUCCUAAAAAGCUUCCCAAGUAACGUGACAACUCCUAGUCUUAGAGAUCACAUGGACAUAUCUUCUGGAAGACAAGGAUACUGCCUUGGGAAUUCAGCAGCUAGCAGUGUUGGCAUCAUGGCAACUGAACAUGAGGGCUCUUACAUGAGUGGUCACAGUAACAUUCUGACCAAUACACCAUGGGUGAAUAAUAAUAGGCCUACCACAGUGCCCUUAAUUGGACUAAUGAAUGAUCCAUUUGGCAUGAGAGCAGAGAAGGAUAACUCUGGCAUAUUUCCUGGAGGCCAGACGCAACACAGCAGGCAGGAAAAUAUUUCACGGGUAGGAGAUGCUGGACUAACCCAAGACUUUCUAGGAUUAGGAGGCAGUGGGAAUUUAGAAAUGACUUCUGAGACUUACAAUGCAGAUGUCACAGCAUUGAGCUAUUCUGAUGAGCAGCAAAAGCUACAGGAACAUAUCUACUCUUACCAUCAGUCAUCUCUUAACUCCACUGCACUGGAGAAACCCAUUUGGGAAUCCUGAUAUAGGCAGAUACAGACAUUUACUUACUCGAUCUGGUAAAUCAACUUCAUAAGCUGUCCUUGGACUUGGAGCAACAGAAGUCAUUAAGCUGGUGUUAACAUGUGCCAGAUAGUAAAAGCCUUGUUCUGUUAGGCUAAAUGGAGUUUGUAAGAGCAUUUCUAUAGGGCAAUUAGAAGGGGUAGCUCAGUAUAUUGUCUGCAACUCUGCAUCAGAGUGAACACAAGCACAACUUUAAGGAAUUUCUGUAGUUUCAUUCAUGGUAUAUCAAUAAAUACUUUGCAUUAUGUUGGAAAAUGAAAGCAAGGCAAAUGGAUGCUGAUUUUACUUCUCAUUUGAUGUUUUUCGGUUCAGAGUGGAAAAUGGAGUAAUCCCAGCUCAUAAAAGUAUGCAGAUUAUUGUAGAACAAUCAACUGGAGUCAACAAUUUAAUUUACUUUAGUUAUAGCAGAAUAAGAAGAACCACAGACAGCGGUACUCUUCAAUUUUUAAAAAGCCAGUGAAAGAUUUAUUGUACUCCUAAUUUUAUGCGGCUUUAGUCAUAUGAAUGUGGUGUUUUCAUUUUUUCCCCACAACUAGUGUUAUUUUGCAUUCUGUUUCCAUUUUCAUGGCUUUUCAGCCAACAGUGUUUUCCUAUGCCAGCCAUUAUUGUAGGCAUGCUCCAUAUAUUUGGGCCGUUAAGUAAUUUGGCACAGUUGAUGCCUAUUAAUGAUGUCUCCCACAUGACUACAUUUUGCAAAUGUAUCAAAUAUAGCAAUUGAUAAAUUUGUACAUACGGGAAAGAGAGAGACUGCAAAAAAUGCCAAAUGUAUUCCUAGAAUUGAGAAUACUCAUACCAUUUACCUCAAAGUUUUGUUGAUGUUGUAAGAGGAGAAAAGCCAAAAAAGCAAGUGAUACUAGUGAUGGCUGAGCUAGUUAAGGCCUUGCUCAAUUUGUUGGGAUUGUAGGUGUGAGUUGCAGCUCCUAUUGACACCAUUUGAGGCUCAUUUGAUCAACUAUAUUAUGAAAAAUGUUGCCUAUAUGUUUGGUUAGGUGUCUAAGAAAUUAUUUGUGGUAAUCUGCAAGUUUAAGGGUAUUUUUACGAAGUAAUCUGACCAGCCCAAAGGGGCUUCCCGAGCUCUCUGUUUGAGGUGCUUGUUCUUAGCUGAGGCCUAAUGGGAGCCCAGCAGAGCUACGUGGCUUGCAUUGCCUGUGCGACAUGUGUCUAGGCCGGACCAGCCCAAACAGCCCAUAUCUAGCCGAUAACAUGGUCCACUGGGCCCAGUCAAUGUUGACCGUUGACCAUUGACCCAGACCCACAUGUCAGUGACCACGCAUGCCUUAGCUAAUCAAAAGCCGCCAUAGGACCACAUUUGAGUGCUUUUAGAUCUUUUGAAUUUCCGUUGCUUCUUUGUGGCUUCUAUAGGAGUCGCUUAUCGUGGCUUUAUGUCUCGGCAACGCUGGAGGAGCUAGACCCUAAGGAGGACGACUACGACUACAUGGAGGGGUUGGGAGAUGACCAAUCUGUAGGUUCCACAUCCCACUGUUGAAUCCUAUUAGGCAUGCAAUGAUAUAGCUGCUAGUGCUUUACUUUAUGCAAUGAUCUAAGAUAGGUUGCUUGGUAGAAUUGCUGGAAGCUUUUACCUUGACACAACAUUUACCCCUACACACUUGUUGUUUGGCUAGAUGCUCGCUUACUACUUGCUACUUGCUUCUACUAUGUAUUAUAUCUAUGAUGUGAUGUUUGGUGGAGGAUUGCUUAUUAUAGUGGCUAAGGCAUAUGGUGCCAAUAUUAUGGAAUAACAAUUGGGGAGAUCUUGGCAUGCGUCUUGGGUGUGUGGUGUGGGUCGAGUUGACUAAAUAGGGUUCUACGACGAGUCUUACCAGAGUGUGACCUGAGCGCUCCUUAGUUGUACCUGCGGCGGGUACCAAUUUUGUGGUCUAGAUUCUGGGGAGGAGUGUCUUCAUGAGGUGAAUCCCCGGAAUAGAGGUGUUGUAGGAAGCACAGGGUGUUGGGUACCCUUUGUGAAGAUGUCUUGUUUGUCACCCUAAGGAUGUAUUGUAAUGACCCGAGUCAUGCUACAACUUAAACUCCCAUUUCAGUCGUCCAGGUUCCUGUUAAGAUGGAAUACCCUAAUCAUCUCGAGAAGGUCACCGUAAGCUUCAAGUUGGAUUUAGGAGACUUAAGAUUAGGUUCCUACUUGGUUAAGCAAAUCUAGAAACUACCAGAUGAUCCGUCACUUGUAUCGGACCAUCUGAUAAACCUGCAGAGACAUUAGAUGGAGUGGGAAGUGAGUUGUUAGCCAUUAUGGGACAUCGCCCACAAGUCAGCAUGAGGGGGAGAUAUUUCCCAACACUAGGAUCUCAGCUUCACUCAUCCUCACCUUAUUCCCCUUGCACACACUCUCUCUCUCUCUCUCUCUCGCAGAAAGAACAAGAGAGGGAGAUAAACUAGAGAGAAAGGAGAAGAAUAUGGAGAAGAGAAUCAAGAUGCUAGGAUGCAGCAAGAUCAGCCCUAGGCCAAGCACUUGAGCUUAAGCAACCUGCAAAUGGUGCAUAUGGGUCUAGUGUUGUUCAUAGUCUAAAAAUACGCACUAUAGUGAUUGAUAAAUUUGAACUAGAUGCAUGUGCUAUUCAUCAUAAAAAAGCAAUAGUUCAAUCAAGCUUUGGUUCGGAUCAGAACGAAGUUGUAGGUUCACGGGCCUCUAUGAAUGAUGUGCAACAGAAACAACAUUAGUUUGAUGUGUUUCAGAAGAAGGUUAAUUCAGAGCUUAACUUGCAGGAGCGAUUCAGACACCUAUUACAUCAUUCCAUAUAAGUCAGAGGCCUGAAUCAACUAAUAUACUUGUCGAUUUGAUCAUAAGAGCUAGUACAUAUAGUUCAUAAAUCUCCAAGGAUGUGUUUCAGCAAGCUUCAAAUUUAGCACUAGUGUGCCUAUGUCGUAUGGCAAAAAGAGAGAAACUAUCAUGACUCAUGCUCCUCCUCCACCUCCAUCAGCUCCAAGACGCUCUGCCAAUACUAACGAGCCGAUUGCUCCAACAUAAACUGCUAUUGACAUCAUUGUUGAUCUGACCUAAGACACUCCUUAGCCAUCUCCAUUUGUCCAGAUCCUUCCUGCAACUACUACUGAGCUGAUCGUCAUUCCUCAAGACUCGAUUGGGCAAAGGAACCAAGGAACAUGUUCUUGUGAGUCAAUUGAAGCUCCCUAAGAAUCGGCAAAGCCAUGGGCGAUCCACAGUUAUCCUCAUCAGCUCGAGAUCCCUCCUCCUCCUCCUCCUCCUGCUACUGAGCCGCCCGUUACUCAAUUAGGCAAAGGAACCAAGGCACAGGUUCUUGUGAGUCAAUUGAAGCUACUUAAGAAUCAGUUGGGCCACAAGCGAUCCAGUGAUAUCUAUGUUGGUAUUUAUUAACUUGUCACUUGUUUUAGUAGCCACCUAUUAUAUGUCUACAUCUCUUGGCAUUACUAUACUAGAUUGUCAUCCCUACUGAUGGUGCCAGAAAUGCUUGUUGGUUCUCUUUAGCAUUACUACUAAGCAAACAUUUAGUAUAUUAUGUGACUAAAAAGAAUAUAAAGAUAUGAGUAAAAAGACUUUGUAAGUAGACAGAUAAUUAUACCAAUGUAGAACUUCACCUCAAAUUAUUCCAAGUAUCGUUAUUUAAAUUUUACUAUAAGGAAGGUCUUGCAGGGACAUGUAUUGAUAACUUAUAAUAUUGAUGGAGAGUAAAGCACAACCAGUAUUCUACUCAUAAUAGGGGUAAGUCAUAGGAUACGAUAUACAUAAUAAGCAUUGAUCAAGUAUAAUGAUAAAUCACUCAUAGCACUCCUAUCUAUGGCAUUAGCAUGGUCAAGAAGAAUAUUAGAGGAAUAAUUCCUAAGUCAUUCAUAACUACAAGUCAAAGCAUACAUUGAUUAGUGCAAUUACACCUAGUACUCAUGGCUAAGAUCACCUUUACAUCUAUGCAUAUAAGGGAUAUCACUUAGGAAGAUUAAGAAUAGAGCUUGCUCUUCCUUCGUAGCCAGACCCUACUUCUAUGACAUAUAUUCGAGAGUGGACUAUAAAGGACUCAAUGGUAGUUUCACACCCGCGAUCUACCACAUGACCUAGAAUAUAUAAUGUAUUCGUAGGUAAACAAUACAUAAGCACCGCACUUACAUAAUGCCAACUGUUGGGUAUUCUUAACAUCACUACCAAAAGUAGACUUAGUUUUCUAAUUCUGAUAACGGUGCCAAAAAUGCCAAACCUAUCUCUCAUACCACUUAAGCCAAGUUGUCAUCCCCAGCAUGACAUGAGAGACGCGGUAUUGAAAUAUGCAAUUGCUCUUCUAAAUAAAUAAUGAAUGGGAUCUGCAAGCGCACAGAUUAAUACCGAUGUAUCAUUUUAACCGAGAAGUAUUCCAGGUAUCAUUAUUUAUAUUUUUACCACUGGGAAGGGAUUAGCAACCAUCAAUAUUGAUUAUAGAAUAGAAUAUGAGAUUGAGUAUCUAUCAUUGCUUAUAUAAUUGAGAACAUUUAUCUAACUCUUUCAUACAGGGAUAAGUGUCACAUAAAAGAUAUAUGAAGUAAUGAAUAGUGACAAAGAUAAUUAAUCUGAUCAGCAUAACUAGCCACAUAUAAAUAUGAUAAGCACCUCAAUUAGAUACUCUAGAAAGUCAUUAGCAUGGUAUUACAACGAACUACAAGAAUAUUUCCUAAGUUAUUCUCAAUUAUAUAGUCUAGCAUUAUCAUAGUUAGUGCAAG